UUAUGUUGUGCAGGUGUUGAGUCAAUUUAUGCACAAGCCUAAGCAAUCUCAUAUGGAGGCAGCUCUAAGGGUGGUCCAAUAUGUCAAAGCUGAACCAGGUUUUGGACUGUUAAUGCCUUCAGAAAGCUCACGCAAACUAGUAACCUAUUGUGACUCUUAUUGGGGUGGAUGUCUUGAGUAUAGGAGAUCAGUUACAGGGUACACUAUGAAGUUUAGUGAUGCCUUAAUAUCCUGGAAAUCCAAGAAAUAGGAGACAGUAGCAAGGAGCUCUGCAGAAGCUGAGUUCAGAGCCAUGGCAUCUAAAGUUGCUGAAAUAACCUGGCUGGAAGGUUUGUACAAAGAGCUAGGAGUUGAUAUCAAACAACCUAUACAGUUGUUUUGUGAUAGCAAAGUUGCAAUUCAAAUUGCUGCUAAUCCAAUAUUUCAUAGAAGAACUAAACAUAUUGACAUUGACUGUUAUUUGUAAGAGAAAAUAUUGUUCAACGACUGAUUCAAACACUGCAUGUAUCGACAAAGGAAUAACUGUCUGAUCUGCUCACUAAGAGCUUGGGAAGACUGUAGAGUUAGUUUGCACGAUAAUUAUUCUAGAAGCAGUUAGAAGGUUAGAAGGUUGUAAGAGGUAGUUAGCACAAUAGCUUUCUUUUAUGUAGACAUAGCAAUGUAAAGAUUUUUUUAAUGGCUUUCAGAUUAAUGAGAAUUAGUUCUCCUUCUACAUAAUUCUCUGUAUCUUCUUUUUUCUGAUUCUUUGCAUCUCCUUGAUGGUGAUUACUUCAUAAGUUUUCACUUAAACAUCAACGCUAAAAAAAGAGACGUGAUAGAGUAGUAAAUACUUCUCCAUUCAUAAUUAGAGAUUUUGAGUUUGAAGUUUUUAGAUACAAUGUUAUUUUUAUUAGGAAACAAUUUACUUUUAAUAUGAAAUUUUUGAUGCAAAUUUAAUUUUAAUCAAUUUCAAAUAUAAAUAUCGAAUAUCAAGUCAAAAAUAAAAAAAAUACCCUUCAUUAUUUUGUUGGCAUAACACCACGUUUAUGGUUUAAAGUGCUCCACAUGUGUGAUGUUUAUGACUCAUCAGCGCCACAUCAACAUGCAACAUAUUAAAAAUACAAUUUAUGAAAAUUGAAUUUUUUUCCCUUUUUUCCAUGCUACCACAAACUUAAAUUACCAUUUAAUUACGAUUUUUCCCAAAAUAUAUUUAAUUGUAUGAAUAUUUUUUCAUAUAAGCAUAAAUUAAAUUAAACCCUUUAUGUAAUUGUAGCUUCUUUUGCCACCUUCCUAGGUUGGGACAGUGAUGGUAAAUUGAAUACUUCUUAUUAAGAAUAUAAAUUAAAAAUUUAUAUAUAUAUAUAUAUAUAUAUAUAUAUAUAUAUAUAUUUUUUUUUUUAAAAUUUUUUAUAAAAAAUUCUGAUUUCACCAAAAAAAACAAAAGUGAUACAAAGCCUGAGUAUAUUUUCCAUUUCCUUUAAUUUCUCAAUAGAAUUAUCUUAUUCGUGGUACUUGUAGAAAUAGUACAUUAAAAAAAGAAAAGAAAAAGUAACACUUCUAGUAUACUCUAUUUGUUUUAGAAAUUUCAAACACAGUACGAGAUGACUAAUUUUUUAUUUUUGUUUUGAAAAUAAUUGUGUUCAGAAAAUUAAAUAAUAGACAAUUUUUCAAAUGCACAUGAGAAUAAUUUGAAUAUUAAUUUAUUUAUGUUUUUAGCCAGCACUUUUUGAAUUUGUUAUAUAUUCCCCAACUUGUAGUUUACUAGUAGUAUUUUUAUAAUAAUCCCACUUAGAUACAACAAUUAAAAAGUGUAAGAAAUAAAUAAAUGUAUCACUGAAAAUUAUCUCUUCAUAGUUGCAUAUGCAAAUUUAAUCAUUGAAUAUAGAAUUUAUUUCCUUUUAUAUUUUAGAAGACAUAAUUGUUUUGAUUCAAGAAUUGAUAAACACGUUAAGAUGAAUUAUAUAAGUAAAAUAAGUAGACGUACAUAGUUUAUUUAUUACUAUCUGCUUUAAUCUUCAAAGUAGUGUAAAGCCCCUUUUUUUUUAAAAAAGAAUAUAUUAUUCGUUCUUUAAUUUAUCGAUAUAAUCCGCUUAUUAUGCAUUAUUUUUUUAGCUCUUAGGGAUAAUGUAUAAGUACCCCUCAAUCUAUGCUCGAAAUUUUAGAGAUACACUUAUAUUAUAUUAAGGUCCUAUUAUCCCCUGAACUUAUUUUGUUAAUAAUUUUCUACCCGUUUUCAACCUACAUCACACUAUCUUGUGGGUUCAAUGUUGGUUGACUUUUUUUCAAGUUAGUACCACAUAGGCCUAAAAGGGGUAGAAAAUUACUUAUAAAAUAAGUUCAGAGGGUAAUAAGACCUUAUAAUAUAAGUGUAUCUCUGUGAUUUCGGAAAUAGAUUGAGGGGAUACUUGUGCACUUUCCUUAAUUUUUAUUAUGAGUCUUUAUUACAACCACAUAUAUGUCUUUAAGUUACUUGGUAGCUAUGCCUCUCAAUUUUGGGUGUAUACAAUAGAUACUUAAAUUUGAAUAGAAUUAAAUAAAUAAAUACACAUGUCUUAGUUAUCGUCCUACGUAGCAAUUCACAUCCUAUGAAGCAUCAUAUGUGUACUAUAUCACGCAGGGGCAGACUCACCCUCAGGCAAGGAGUGUUUCGUCAGAAAAUUACAUUAUAUAUUGAGGUCAAAUUUAGUAUAAUAAAUAUAUAUACACAUAAGUAUUAACACUUCUUGGCACAAGUUAAAGUUUAAGUUUAAUGAUUAAGAUGUGAAAAUUUCUUGAGGUUGUGUUUUAGUCGAAUUAGCCUCAUUUUAUAUUGUUUACUAUAAUAUUGAUCCCCCUUAAUGACAAUCCUGAAUUCGCUAUCAAGUAGCUUAAAUUAAAAAGUAUAUAUUUAUAUAUUAUGUCAAAAAUAAUGAACUAUUUUCUUUGUCCUUAUUUACUCGUUCAUUUUUUACUUGACACACCAAUUAAGAUUAUAACAAUUGACAUAGUGAGUUUACCAUUUAACCCUUAUUAAUUGAUAGAAUUUCCAAAAUCAAUUUACUCAUUAAACGGGUUAUGCCUUUUUUUAAAAACAUUAACUCUCAAAUAAAUUAAGGACAUAACAAAUAAAAAAUAUUAUCAUAAUUUGUUAAAAAUGACGUGUAAAAAAAAUAAUAGGAGUAAUAUUUUGAAAUCAAAGACAUAAUACAUAAGCAUGACCUUCAAGUUGGCUGACCAACUUACAUAAAAUCAAACAAAUAGACACGUUCGUCCUACGUGACAUCUUACAUGACAAUUGUGAUCUACGAGUAUUUAUCAUAUACAACAUGUAUACUUACUUUUUAAUUUUAUAUCAAUUCAAGUAUCUAUAUUCAUACUUCUAAUUAAAUAAAAUAUAAUUAUUCACUAAAAUUAAGUUAAGAAUCUUAUUCAUAUAUCACGCCAAAAUUAAAUAGAAAUGCAAAAUGGGGUCCAAAUGGUACGCACACGAAACAAAUAGAAAUACUAUUAAAUGAAGUUAAAAGAUGGUGUAGGUUAAUAAACAAUUAUAUAAAAGACUCAUUCCGCGUUCUCCGUGUCGGCAUUUUAACGAAACAUCCCAAAAACGGCACCUUUCACUUCCCUCACAUUUAAUAUUUAAUAUGUAUUCUUCUUCUUUUUAUAUAUAUUCACACUUAUUUUUAUUUAUAUUUUGACUUUCACACUUUGAUUUAUCACUAGUAUCAACUUUUGUUUUGUUGCCCCACUUGUUUGUUUUUUUAAGAAGAAAAAAAUCAUAUAUGGACCGACUCUUUAUUUGGCGGGCGUUUCUUUUCUUAAUAAUUAAAAAACAUUGUUUUUAAUUUUGUCAACUUGUUGUGUUUAUAUAUAAGAACUACAAACACACAUUUACAUUAUUAUAAUUCUAAUCUAAUAGUUCAUUGUUCUUGUCAACUUUUGCAAAAAUAAACAUUUCAUAUAUACAAAUAUACAUGUGUAAUAUUGUUCACUACAAGGUGGCGAAUUCGAAUGAUAACAGGAGUAGUAGACAAGACGAUGAAGGGAUUAAUGUGUUUAAUACGAUGUUUCAAGGGAAUAUUAAUAGAGAAGAAGAAAUGUCUGUUAUGGUUUCUGCAUUAACUCGUGUUGUUGUUGGUAAUCAUCCUAGUGAAAAUAUCGAAAAUCAUCAUCAAAAUAAUACAUUGAUUUCUAGGGGUGUUGGAGAAAAAAGAGGACGUGAUGAAGUAUUAUUACAUGGAACUAAUUCUUCUCAUAUGAUAUUAUCAUCAGGUAAUUUUAUUUUUCUUUCCCUUGAUAAGUAAUGAUCGAUGUAAAUAUAAGAUAGUUACGAACUCAAGAGUAAAUUUAAACUCCUUAUUUUGUGGUUUAUUCAUUUAGCUAUAGCUUAACUUUGACUAAUUCAGAUUUCGGAAAAUCUCAAGUAAUCAAUCUUUUUAUUUAUGAUGUAUAUUUACAUUUUUAGCACAUGUCUACAUCUUUUAAAUUGUUGCAUUUGUCCUUUUGUUUUUAUAUGGAAUGUUUUUGCAUAUGACAAACAGUCUUUCUAUCUCUGAUCAGGGAUCUAGAAUUUUCAUUAAGAGAUGAUGAGUCCAUGCAUUAUAUUGAGUAUGUUGUUAUGGGUAUUGAUACUAAAUUAUGUUAUAUAGGUGGUGAAGGUUCAAGCAUUAGGACAACAAGAGAAGCAACAUUCAUAUACACUAAUUCAACAAACAAUAGCAUUAUUGAUGAAUCUGUUAAUAAUCAAGUAAGACGACGAUACAGAGGAGUUAGACAGAGGCCAUGGGGGAAAUGGGCAGCUGAAAUAAGAGAUCCAUAUAAAGCAGCGCGUGUUUGGUUAGGUACUUUUGAUACUGCUGAAGGGGCUGCUAGAGCUUAUGAUGAAGCUGCUCUUACAUUUAGAGGUAGUAAAGCAAAACUAAAUUUCCCAGAAAAUGUUACAUUAUUAGUGCCUUCUUCAAUUCAACAACCCAUUUACUCCUCACCCGACCCAGCCAUUUCUCCGUAUCGUUCCAAUUUUAUUAUUGGACAUACCUCUACGGAAGUGGAGCCUAUACUUCACACCAAUCCUUCAAAUUUUAUUGAGCCUAUAGCUCACACUUCAUCUCUGUAUCGUUCCAAUUUUAUUGAACGGAAUCAUCACAUGGUGCAGCAGGAGCCGUAUUUUCAGGCAGGUAGUACUAGUGGUGGAAGUGAUUUUCAUCAAACUACAAAUUCUUCUAAUUCGUCAAUUUAUGAUCACCCUUCUUCUUCAUCUGGAUAAUUUUUGUUGUACUACUAGAAUAUCUUUUUCAUCUUCCUAGAAGAUUUUGACUAGCUAAUAGUGAUUUUUCUUUUAAAGGAAUGUAUUGGUGGCCCCACAUAAAUGAGGUCCUUUUAUUUUCUUGCAUAACAGUCUUUAAUUUGACUUUUGUUGGUAUUCGUGACGUUUAAUUUUACAUUUACGUGUGUAAUAGUAAAUUUCUAAUUUUGUAUAAAAUUGAAUAAAUAGAAAUGCACGCCCUACGAAUGCAUGUAACAUGCCGUAUGUAGGACGCCAGGUAGGAUGUAUGUGUUUAUUUAUUCAAUUUUACAUAAAUUUAAGUGUCUACUUGUACACACUUAAAGUUGAAAAAUAUAAAUACCAAUUGAAGACAAGUUAAUUGAUCUAUUUAUAUAUUAUGUUUUUUUCUUCUUCAUAUUUUCGGAUGUAUUUAAGUGAGAGGAAGUUCAGAAAUAAAAAUAAAAAGUUGAAAGAACUAAAUAGUUUUUUUUGUUGUGAAUUUACUACUCAUCCUUUUUAUUUAUAAUCAUAUAUGAUGUUUGUAACACUUGUAGGCAUCAAUAUAUAUUAUGAAGAAUGUCAAAUUUUACUAUAAUGUUAUAUACUAAUACCGGCCAUGCCAAUAUUUUUAUUUGUCACCCUAUGGAAGUAUACAAUUUCACCAAAGUUAAAACAUUUGAAAUUUUUUACUUAAUUCACUGUUCAUUAUAUUGUCAUGUAUAUAUAUACUUAGAGGCAGAUCUAAAAUUUUAUAGGAUAGAUGCAUUAUGAUUAAAAAAAAAAAGAAAAGAAAGUGGAUCUGAAAUUUAUAUUCAAACAAAUUUAGUAUUUAGGUUCUUACGAUUAGCUCAUUUCAUUUUAAAUUAUAGGAGUAAAAUUAAGAUUAAAUUCUUCAUACCAUUUAAAUAACUUCAAGAUAGGGACAGUUUCUUAAUGUUAAUGAUAAAUUCGAUGACGAUAUAAUAUUUUUGAAAUCAAUUAUGCUUAAGGAAGCACCAAUUGUGUCUAGAAUUCUUCUCAAUUUUUUUGUGAAGUUCGAGAAGACACCAGAACUUUUGUAAAAAAGUUUGAGAUGAGUUUCAAUUAGAUUCAAAUUUAUAAUAAAAAUAACUACAAUCAUAUUUCACUAAAUUUCAUAAUGUUAAAAAGUUAUUACUUUAUAAUAUUAAUGAAAUUAUAUAUUUAUAUAAGAAUCUUCCAAAAAUAUAUUAUCCUUUUAUCUUAUAGAAAUCAGUAUUUUCUCAUUAACCUAAGCCAAGAUUGAAAUCUAGAAGCUCACAUUUCAUGUCACGUGCAUUAUUAGUUUGACUAAUUGUGGUCUUACUAUUUGUACUUACGAACAAAGCACGUGCCCUAAGUCAAUUUAAUUCGAAUUAAUAAUAUUCUAGACGAAUAAAAAAUUCAAAAAAGAAAAUCACAUACAAUAUAAGAAUCAUUAUAAAACUUCUAGAACUUGAAGAACAUUUCCCCUCAAAUUUAUUCCAUUUCAAGUUUGGUGUGUUAAUAUGGCCUUGUAAUAAAGAUUCUAUUAGUCGGAUCAAGGUCAACAAUUCAAAUUUAAUAAUAAAAUUCCUAUGAUAGGAUAAUAUUCUUUUCAUAUCGACUAAUAGAAUUUUAAACAUUUCAUUCAUGUAAUACAAUAUAUCUAUGUAUAUGUUACUUCAACAAAAAAUUUCAUGUAUACGUCCAUGAAUAACACGUUUUUGUGUAAGACAUGAGCAUGAUAAGUGUAAUUAGUUAAAAGUAAAAGGAUAUUUUUAAGAUUGUCAAUAGUUCGAGGAUAGACUAUAACAUAAAUAAUUUUUUGCGAUAACAAAUAUACACAUUAAUAAAUAGUGCUAAAUUCUUUAUUGGUAUUAGUUAAUUGUUAUUGGACUCAAUGUCGCUAAAGAUUUUUGAGACAUAUAUAAAGAGUGAUAUGCCGGUAAAAAUACAUAUUUAGUGACAAUUAUGCUAUCACUGUUAAUUAAUUGCCGCUAAAGAUUAUUUUUGAUGUACUUGUUAAGAUCUUCAACAAGAAGCAUGGGCAGCCAUUGAUGAAGCUGCAAACUUCCCCAGACGAGACUGAGGAUAAAAGCUACAAUGCAAGGCUUUGAGAUUGAAUUGUGAAAAGUUUGAUUACCUUCAUUCAUCACUCAUGAGGUGUAUAUAUACAUGUGAUUAGAUGGAUCAAACUAGUGGAAAGAAAAUAACUAACUAACUAACUAGUUUGUUAUGUAACUAACUAUUACAAUACUAACUAUAAAAUGGAAAUACAACUAACUAACCAACUUGGAAGGAAUAAGUAAUGUACAUGAAUUAAUUAUGAAUGUUAAUACCCCUCCUCAAGUUGGAGGUGAAGAUUUCACAGCCAACUUGUGUAAGAUGGCUGAAUGUUUGAUGCCAGUGAGGGUCUUGGUAAGGAUGUCUGCAAGCUGAUUGGAAGUAGACACAUGAUGCAAAGAAAUCAACCCCUCCUGAAGUUUAUCACGCACGAAGUGACAAUCCACCUCAAUGUGUUUAGUUCUCUCAUGAAACACAGGAUUACGAGCAAUAUGGAUGGCAGAUUGACUAUCACAAUGAACACUAAUAGGAGAGGAAAUAGAGACAAUUAACUCAGUAAGUAAUCUAUGAAUCCAAGUUAGUUCUCCUACAACUUUUCUGAGUGAUCUAUACUCUGCUUCUGCUGAUGACAAGGAGACUGUCUCUUGUUUCUUAGACUUCCAGCUGAUAGGGCUGUUCCCAAGUAGCACUAAAUAGCCACUGACUGAUCUCCUUGAAUCUGGACAUGAUGCCCAAUCUGAAUCACAAAAGGCUUGGACUGUGCAGUCAGGAUCAUUAGACAACUGAACUCCUAAGGUAGUGUCCUGUUUGAGAUAUCUAAGCAGAUGAUAAGCUGCUUGUAAAUGUGGAGCUCGUGGAUCCUGCAUGAAUUGGCUUAAGUGUUGAACACUAAAAGCUAUGUCCAAUCUUGUAUUAGUUAAGAAGUUCAGCUUGCCUAUCAACUUUCUAUAGAAAGUAGGAUCAGACAAAGGGGUUCCUUCCUUGGCUUUCAAUUUAAUAGUAGGGUCUAAAGGAGAGGACAAAGGUGUAUAAUUGAAACAAUCAUACUCUUUGAGCAAGUCUAAAGUAAACUUCCUUUGAGAAAUAAGUACCCCAUCUGCUGUAUCAAGAAUCUCCAAGCCUAGAAAAUAGUGAAGUCUUCCAAGAUCUUUGAUUUUAAAGGUGUUAUCCAGAUAUGCCUUCAGAUGUGCAAUCUCAGUUGUGUCUGUGCCUGUUAAAAUAACAUCAUCCACAUACACUGCAACAAACACAGCCAAUAGACCUUCCUUUUUGUAGAAUAAGGAGUGAUCAAAUUGUGAAUAUGAGUAACCUCUGGAUGACAAUGCUUCAGUUAGCUUAGAGUACCACUGCCUACUUGCUUGUUUAAGACCAUAAAGAGACUUCUUCAAUUUACAAACCAACCCUGAAUUAAGUACUUCAAGUCCUGGAGGUAAUUGCAUAUAAACUUCUUCAUGAAGAUCUCCAUGAAGGAAUGCAUUGUUUACAUCAAGUUGAAACAUGCUCCAACCUUUCUUCACUGCACAUGCUAUCAAAGUUCUCACUGUGGUCAUCUUAACCACAGGUGAAUAAGUCUCAGUGUAGUCAAUUCCAGCCUGCUGUGUAUACCCUUUCACAACUAGUCGUGCCUUGAAUCUUUCUAUGCUUCCAUCUGCUUUGUGUUUUACCUUAUACACCCAUCUACAUCCAACUGCUUGCUUGUUUGGAGGUAAUGCAACAAGGUCCCAAGUAUCAUUAGCAUACAAUGCUUCAAAUUCUUGUGUCAUGGCCUUUUGCCAUGCAGGAUUUAGUGAUGCCUCCUCAUAUGAUGAUGACUCACUAUCAUGACAAAUAUUUUCAACAAGUGACUGACUAUUAGAUGCAAUGACUUCAGGAGAUAUAUGAUGGUGUUUGGUAAACAAUGCAGUAAGUGAUAAGUUGUUAUUGAUAGUUGUGUUGGAUGUAUUAGAACUGAGUGAUUUCAAUUUUGGGAUAUUAAAAACAUAGUCUUUCAAAUGUGAUGGUAUUUUGUUUUCCCUGUGUGAUCUUCUCUGUACUAUUGUGGAAGUAUUGUAUUGAGAAGAUGUUGAAGAAGUAAUAGGAGUAGUGGAAGGUAUAUCAGGAUGUUGAGUAAUGUGAGUAGGUAAAUGAGAAGGAGUUGUAUCAGUCACAUUGUCAUAAUCACUUACACAAUUCUUAUAUGAAUCUGAAAUAGUAUAAUCAGGAGAUGAAAAAGACCUCAAAACAGAAGGAAAAGAAGAACUUUCAGUUGACAAAGUAAAAGGAAAGACAUGUUCAUGGAAAAUUACAUCCCUGGAGAUAUGUAACUUCUUUGUAGCUAGAUUCAUUACCUUAUAGCCUUUAGUUCCAAAAAAAUAUCCUAAGAAAACAUGUGGAGUAGUCCUUGGCUCAAACUUAUCUCUAAGUACCUUUGGCACAGUGGGGUAACAAAGACAACCAAAAGAUCUAAGCUGGCUGUAGUUUGGUUUCUUAUUGUAUAAUACCUCAUAUGGACACUUAUUUCUCAAAUAACUCGAUGGUAGUCUGUUAAUGAUAUGUGUAGCUGUUAGAACACACUCUCCCCAGUAUCUUAUAGGUAGUUUAGAUUGAAACAAAAGAGCUCUAGCUGUUUCCAACAAAUACUUAUGUUUUCUUUCCACUAUACUAUUUUGUUGAGGUGUAUAUGGACAAGUUUUCUGAUGAACUAUUCCUUUGGAUAAAAGAAAACGAUGUGUUUCAUUAUUAUUAAAUUCUAGCCCAUUAUCUGUUCUAAUGUUUUUGAGAGUGGUAUUAAACUGAUUCUCUAUCAUGACUAUAAAUUUUUUCAAAACUUGUAGAGCAUUGCUUUUAGUACUUAAGAGGUGUGUCCAAGUUGAUCUGCUAUAAUCAUCUACCAAAGUAAUGAAAUACUUGUAGUUGUCAUAAGUGGAUAUAUGAUAAGGUCCCCAUAAAUCAAUAUGUAGCAGUUCAAAAAUGGAUUUGGUUUGGCUUGUGCUAUGACUGAAAGGUAGCCUUUGUUGUCUUGACAUUGGACAAAUAUUGCAGCAGAAAGGUUGUUUGGAAGAAAAACUAACUGGUAAUCCAAUGAUACUUUUCAUCUUAACAAAAGGUACAUGGCCAAGUCUAUUGUGCCACAACAAGUCUACAUUGUCUCCAGAGUUGUGAUCAGCCAUAACAUGACUAAAAGAAGAUUUACACUUAAAAGGAACAGAAUUAGAAGCUAACACUUUGUAUUGAUCAUGAGAAAAUGAAUUAGCAGGAAAAGAAUUACAUGUUUCACCUCUAAUGGAACUAGAAAAAGGACUGUUAUUUGGAAAACAACAACAUAUUUGACAUGUAUUGACUCUUUCAGAGGUCUUCAAGCAUUUUGUGCAUAAGAAGUAAAGCCCAUCUCUACAACUACCAAGAACCCGUGGCCUCUUCACUAAAGGGGCCUGCAAUAGACACAAUGCAUUAGUGAACAUGACUAUGCAUUUCAUUGUAUUAGUUAGUGAAUGGACUGAAACUAGAUUAUACUUAAAAGAAGGCACAUAUAAGACUUGAUGUAAAGUAAUAUUGGAUGUGACUGGUACAUCUCCAAACUCUGUUACUUUGACUUUGUAUCCAUUUGGAAGAGAAACUAGUAUAGGAAUAGGCAAAGUUUUGAUAUUGAUUAGAGAAUUCUUACUAAAGGUUAUGUGGUUUGAUGCUCCUGAGUCAAUGAUCCACAAAUUAGCACUUGACUCAAAACAUUUGCAUGAUAGAUUGUCAAAAACAGUAGAGGAAGAGCAAACUACAAUACCUGCAAAGUUCAUUGAUCCAUCAGCCAUACCAUUAUUGACAGCAGUAUCUUCUCCCACAUUCUCAUUUUUGAAAUUUUGCAGUAGAUUCAUGAUCUGUCCAUAUUGUUCCUUCGUAAAGUUAACAUUCUUUAACACAUCACCUUGAGAUUGUGAUUGUUCUUCUCAUUUGCAGAUGCCACAUCACCUACAGAACCAUGUACAUUUGCUACCACUCUCCUUCCUUUGUAACUUGAGCCUUGUUGUCUAAAAUUCUGGCCACCAUUGUAAUUUCCUGAUCUAUUAUUUUGGUUGUUAUUGUUUUGGGGAUACCCAUGCAACUUGUAACACUUAUCCUUGAUGUGUCCAGCUCUUUUACAAUAGUCACACACUAUGACAUUCCUGUUGGUGUUGUUACUUUGAUAGUGAUUUCCUCCUAAACUACUGUUAGUAUCACCAUAUUUUCCAUAGCUAUUUCCAUAGUUGUUUCCUUGAAAAUUUGUUCUAAAAGAUCUUCCUCCAUGCCCUUUGUUAUCAACAGCUUUAACAUUCAAAGACACAGAAUCUGUAGACAUUCUACCAACAGGCUUGAAUUCUCUUUGUUUUUCCUCUUGGAUUAGCAGUGAGAAAGCCUGUCCCAUAGAAGGAAGAGGAUUCAUCAUGAGAAUGUUUCCUCUUAUCACUGUGUACACUUCAUUUAACCCCAUAAGAAAAUGAAUCAGGCGUCUAUCUUGUUUAGCCUUGAAUAUACUAUCCUUUGCACCACACACACAGACACAACUGCAGUGAUUCUUCACAUUCAAAGUAUUCAAUUCUUUCCAUAACUUCUUCAUUCUUGUGUAAUAUACAGUAAUGUCCAAAACUCCUUGUGUGAGAUCAUUGAUCUCCUUUUGAAUUUGAUACAAUUUUGCUCCAUUGGUUUGAUCAUACCUGUCUUCCAACUCCUUCCACAACUCAGCAGAAUUGUUUACAUACUCUACACUGUCUGAAACUUCUUUGAUUAAGGAGUUCAGGAUCCAAGAUGUCACCAUAUCAUCACACCUCUGCCAUUGACGUAACAGGGGUGUAUUGGUGCUUGGUUUCUCACAACUUCCAUCAAUGAAACCUAACUUGUUUUUCACUGACAAUGCCCUCAUAACACCUCUUCUCCAAGUCCUAUAUCCUGUUCCAUCAAACUGAACAAGAACAAGUAUCAUUCCUGGAUUAUCUGAAGGAUGCACAUACAGAACACCAUUGGCAUCACUUUCAGAUAUUACAGAUCCCUCAGAUGCAGAUGUGGAUGUAGUUUCGAUGGCCAUUACAACUAUGACUAUUAUGAACUUUCAGAAGAGAAAAGGAAACAGAAGAUGUAUGAAAACCAGUAACUUCCAACUUUGCUAUCGAUUGAUAAUCAAUCAAAACGAGUAAUCAAAAGAAGAGAAAAAAGCAGUUAAUCGUGUGCUCUGAUACCAUGUUAAGAUCUUCAACAAGAAGCAUGGGCAGCCAUUGAUGAAGCUGCAAACUUCCCCAGACGAGACUGAGGAUAAAAGCUACAAUGCAAGGCUUUGAGAUUGAAUUGUGAAAAGUUUGAUUACCUUCAUUCAUCACUCAUGAGGUGUAUAUAUACAUGUGAUUAGAUGGAUCAAACUAGUGGAAAGAAAAUAACUAACUAACUAACUAGUUUGUUAUGUAACUAACUAUUACAAUACUAACUAUAAAAUGGAAAUACAACUAACAAACCAACUUGGAAGGAAUAAGUAAUGUACAUGAAUUAAUUAUGAGUGUUAAUACUGAAAACUAAUAAUUCACGCCAUGUCAAGAGUGUUUUCACUACUUCUCUCUAAUUUUUUAUAAGUAAAUUGAAUAACAAUAAUAGAUUCAGUAUAAUCCUAUAAUUGAUAUUUGAAUUGUCGACUAUAUGUACAUCUUGUGGAGUAAAAAUGAAAUACAUGGCUCAAAAAUUUAAAAAGUUAAUAUAAUAAUAUUGAAAUGGUAUUACGUUGAAUUUGAUAAAUUGAUACAUAUAAAAUAUUAAAAUGGUGUUUGUUUCAAUUCCUGAAAUUUGAAGAACACACCAUAAAGCAAAUUUAAUCAUAUUUGUAAACAGACGACAAUAGAAGGUUUGACGGUUUAGAGAUUUCAAAAUAUUCAAUUAUAAGCUAAUUAAAUUGUGAAAGAAGAAUGAGAAAGAUAAAUGCAUAACGCAGAUUCAUGUUAAUCGUCUGAAUAUAAAUAAGUAAUAAAAUGUGUAAAAAAAAAAAUACUAUAAUUACCAAAAACUAUUUCAAACCAUUACUUUAGUAGCAAAUUCGAUCUACUUUGCAAAAGCACGUACCCAAAGUUAAUUAAAUUCGAAUUCAUAAUAUUUCAAAAGAACGAAACUUUUCAAUUCUUUUUUUACAUAAAAUACAAGAAAUCAUUAUACAACUUCCAGAACUUCAAGAACAUUUCCCCUUAAGUUUAAUUAAUUCCUAUUUGGUGUAUUAGUAGGGCCAUAUAGAGAUUCUAUUAGUGGAGUCAACGUCAAUAACUUAUAUUUUAAGAAACAAAAGAUUCGUAGGAUAAUAUUCUUUUCAUAUCGACUAGUUCAAUAAACAAAAUCUUUUUUUUUUUUUACAAAUAAUAUUUCUUUUUAUUAUUCAGAACAAUAAACUAAAUGAUCUUAUAUAUACUGUUAGUCCUUAUAUUCUAUAGACAAAUUGCCAAUGAACACUAUUAGAAAAUAAGAAAAAAUAUAUGUUAAUCUCAUCCACUUAUGGAUUAACGAUGAAUAUUGUAAACGAGAGAGGGUACACUAAAAUUAUGUGGUACCUAAUUUGAAAAUGAUCCAGAAAAAGUGUUUUUUGAGCUCAAAUCUAUUUUAUUUUUGUUGAGUUGUUAUAUAAAUUUCGAAAUUUAUAGUCUAUAAUAAAAAGAAAAGCUCAUCAAUUAUGACUUUAAUUGUAAUUUCAUCAAAGGGAAACUUACAUAAAUAUACUAUAAUAAAAAAAUAUUUACCAUUUAUAGCAAUAAUAUUUUUUUUCACUUAAUCACUUUUAAUUCAUUUAUAAUACAAGUUUAAUACAUAUUACAAAGAACAAUUUAUUAUUCACAUAUAAUAAAAUUUUUAAUGAUGAAUAAUACAUUUAUCACACAUUUUAAUAUACUUAUAAUACAACGUGACAAUUUUUACCAAACAAACAUGAUAUAUUUCAAAAAACAAUUAUAAUUCAUAUAUAUUGCAUACAUAAUUCACUUUUAAUACAUAUUACAGAUUUAACAAAGCUUUGAUAUAAAUGGUAAUAAACAAAAAGUAUUGCUAAAAUGAGUAAUUAUUUUUUAAAUUGUAUUUAUUUAUGUAAUUUUUCCUUUAUAUUCAAACGACCUCUCAUUGAACCCGCUCUUAUUAAAGAAAUUGGUCGUAGAAUAUAAGAAAAUUGUAUCAGAAAAUUAGAAUAUCGUUAUUUUUUUUUUUUUUUUUUGCAUUGAUGAGUCUUCGUAAUUUAUUAUAAGUUAACAAACUGUAAUAAUUGUUAACUUUGUGUUAGUAAUGGUUAUGUGAAAAUAUUUUGGUUAAGGUAGCGAACAAGUACAGAACUAUUCCUAAUAACGAAUCAUGAGAAAGAGUUCCAACGUAGCAGUGUUACUUGCUUCCUCUGCACUCUCUAAACCUCACCAACUAUACUUUUCGAACCUCAUUGAAUAAACCUAAAAUCCUCAUCAUUUAUGAAAAUUAUUGACAAAUAGCUCAUUAAUAAGAUAAUCGAAAUAUCAAAAGACGCCACAUAUUGAAACAUUUUCAUAAACACACCUAACACUAAUCUUUUUUUUUCCAAAUGUUUCCACAACCACAUUUACAAUCCAAAAAGGCCCUUUGACAUUAUAUGAUGUUUGACUUGGCAUAACAGCUUUUUUGAAAAACGAAAAUCAUCGAAAAACUUUGUAGUCUAAAACAAUCCAUGAUUUACAGUGGCAUGUAAACCCCAUCGAUACCGAUCUAGGUAUUAUUUUCAAAACACAUAUUUUUCACACAGAUAACGCAAAGGUAGAGAUCAUUUUAAAAGGGGAAAAGAAAGCCAUUUUCCUUUUGCUAACCCCUAAAGAAGGAUGCAUUACAAAAUAAAACUACAGCGCUAAUGAAUGUGAUGAUGAGUAAAUAAGCAAUUAAUGGAACUUGACAUCUCUGAUCUCUUGGCAUCAAACCUAAAUUUUUGCUGAUCACAAUGAAUAAAUCAUGCGGAGAAACGUCAGAUAAAGAUACAAAAUGGGGGAAGAAAAUGAAACUCCGACAACGAGAAAAGCAAGCAGGCAAAUCGUGAUAGUACAGGCAGAGGAAUCAAGAUUUGCGAGUUUUUGCUCUUGUUGCUUGUUUCUCAGAAUAGAGAGUACUGCAAAAAGGAUUUCAACUUUGUCACAAUGAACGUCCAGACCGGAAUUGCUAUAAUUGAUGUGAGGCUCGGCUUGGCUCCUACCAGUAGAGUUGUCCGAUCAAAGUCUUCUAAGCCUUUAAAGCAGCUUUGUGCACCAUUGUUUCUUUGUGGAUCUGGUGGCAACUCUUUUCGACAAGGUCAAGCAGCUUCUCCAAAUUAGACGCCCAAGAAUUCAAGAUAUCAUUGCUGUCUUUUGGGGGUUGGAAACAGACAAUACCCAUAGGUCUGUCUAUUUUAGCAACCAAAGCUUUUGAUACAACCAUUUCAGAUAGGUGCUUCUCCGCUUCCUGAAAAAAAAAGAAAAAAGAAAAGAAGAUCAGAAAUCACCAGACAAAUGUAUGCUAUGAGAGGUAAAACAAUUAUGUGACAGUUGCAACAUCUAGACAAAUGGUGCUCAGUAAUGAUGAAGAGAAAAUAGAAUGCUGAUUAUGAUUUCAGUUCCAACAUUUGAAAGUUUGUGCACAGAAGGUAAAAAUUGGGAACAUCCAGCAACUCUCCACUGAGUUGUCUACAACAUUUUUUUCUUUUUCACACAGUUUACCUUCUUUACUAUUUUAGUGCAAAGGUAUAGCAAAUUUCCCGCCAUCAGCAAGAGCCAGACCAAGGAUCUUAACUAUAAUGAACCAGAUCUGAAUUGACAAAUCUAACAGCUAAUGUUUUUCACAAGCACAAAGUUAUAUUGCUGCAAGGCACAGAGAGACCCCAAGACUUACAGUGGCCCUCGGCCUUUGCACUAAGGUUUAGACCACAUUCACUUAAUCAUAGCAGGAACUCUCUAAAUACCACCAAAGAUGAAGUAAAACAUGUAGGUAUUGUACACAAUACUCUAAACAAAUUAGGAAAAGUAAUAAACUAAACAUGCACCUGAAUAUCGAGGCACAGUAAAACAGCCAGCCUCUUCAAGGUUAUUCUUGAGUAGUAUUUUGAGACGACAAGGAUGUUCUGCAAGGAAAAUAGUACUUAAAAGUUAAAGCACAAUUCAAGAGGAAAAUGGACGCCAUUAUGACAAAUCAUCAAACAGGAGAACUAAAAGUGAGCCCUUAGAUAUUACGUGCUCAAUAACUCUCAGUUUGAGGUCUUCAGCAGCCUUGUCCCCCAAAGUGCCACCAGGCAUAUUCUUCUCAUUUUCAAACUCAUCCUUGAAUGUGUUCCAUAAAGCAGUCCACUGAAUGACUUCCAUGGUAAUCAAUUGCUUCAGAAGCAGCCUGAAGCAAAAAAAAGGAAGAUACCAAAACAAUCAUUAUUCUGAAGUUGGUUCCCCUCUAGUGUAGAGGGUGGAGAAAAUUGUAAAUUUCUGAAAAAACAGUCGUUGGAUAAAAGAUAAGAAAUGUUUCCUUCUGAGCAUGCAAAAUUCCACAUUUAUAUUGAAAUAAACGAGACUAUAUAAGUUAGUCAGGUAGUAGAAUAAGGUUAUAUAUACACUCAUUACUUGAUAUUUCUGUUUAGAGUUUCAAUUUUCAAAAUGUUAGUUUAAGAAAAUAAGGACUUCAAAGAUCCAUUAAUCAUUGAAUAACUCUAAUCUCCUUCAGCCUUAACAUGCAAGACUCAUAUCAAAUACGCAAACAUUGCAACAAUGCAAAGCCCGAUGAACCAGACUAGAACUCUAAUACUCCAGCCAAUUAAUUGUGUGAUAGGAUUUGACUAGGGAGGAAGUGUAAGAUGGCUCAGUUGACAUUUCUACUAUAUUGGUCAUUAGUAAUCAAAGAAAUUACUAAGACAGUUUCUCAAAGCUAGUCUGUCACGGAUACAUUGGAUGAAUUUGUGAAGAUAGUAAAAAACUUAAGAUUCUUGAAAUUUCUGAAAGAUGCAGAACAAUAUUGUUGAUGGACAGGUGGCAAACAUCCUUGAUGUCCCAAAAUAGAAAUUGCUAUAUAAACUUCAACUUGUUCCAAAGGAAGUACAAAAUAUUCAUCAUCAAAUGACAUAUAACCACACACAGAAUGAAAUAAUUUCCAAGCAGAGUUUAUGUCAAUUGGCAAAAUUUUGAGAAAUCUUACCCCACAAACCCAAAUAUACAAAUGCAAAGAUAAUAACACCAUAAACAUAGUUAUUACUUUUUUCCUUUAUUUUACAAGUAGCAACAGUAAACAUAGUGCAAUAGAGUUUUUUGCACAAAACCUGAAAUGAGGAAUUUCUGAAAGAUUUUUGUCCUCCAAAGUUGAGUUAUGAAGACUUGAUUGCAUAGAAUCAUGGGGAGACAAUACCAAGUACCAGCAAAUUUUCCUCAGAACCUACAUGAAAUAACAGAGUUAAGCAAACUGGUCAAUCAAGCAUUAUCUGCAAUUAACCCUCUUCAAGAUUUGGAAUCUCAAAUACAAUGACGAGCUCCUCUAUCUACAUUUAUACACGUCUACAAAUCGAAAUGUAAUUAAAAAUAAAAAAAAUUAUGCUAGAUCCACUAAGAAAGGGCCUCCAAUAACAACUCAAGUUAACAAAACAGAAUACAUUGUAUCUUAUUUAUCAGUGACUUCAAGUUAUCAAAAUAGAAUACGUCCAUCCAUCCCACCCAUUUUUCUCCUAAUAAUAUAGACUUGGACUCUAAAACCUAUAAAAUAAUGUUACAUUUAUUAAAUCUUCUGGAGAACAGUAAAUGGUUUGUGGAAAGAGUUAUAGCCAGAGUAAUGACUCUUCCUCCCCAUUAGCUUUUAUGUUUCUCUCUUCGUAUUACCACACUUCCGCAUUUACACAUUCUUGUUUUCUUCUUAAUCUAAUUAUAGCCAAGCCUAUUGCCACAGUUCGAAAUUUGUUUUCCUUCUGCCCAAGAUGUUCAAUGAUCAACAUGGGUAGACUAAGAGCCUGUUUGGAUUGUGGCUUAUUAUAGGUUCUUUAAAGCCAAAAUAGUUUUUAAGCAGCUUUGAAGUGUCUAGGUAAAAUAAAAAAGUGCUUAUAAGCACAUGUUUUUAAACCAAAAUAUCAAAAAUAAGCUAAAAGCCAUAAGUAAAAAUUUCUAACUUAUGCCUUCAUGUCACAAGCCAAAAGGUAAUCCAAACAGGCUAAAUAAUAAAGCCCCCCCCCCCCCAACCCAACCCAAAUCUUUCUGACAGAUGAAAAGGAUGCCUACCCCCUUUUCUAGAAAACUGAAAAGAAUGCCGACCCUUAUCUUGUUAGAUGAAGAGAAGCCUGACUAGCUGCAUAAGAAUACAAGCCCAGCUCACAAUUAUCAUAUGAUACCAGGGAAAAACUAAUCCUAUAUCUUCUAUUCUUAAAUAAUUUGUUUCCCAAUAUAGGGAAGAAAGAGUGUCUCUUUAUGAAUUUGACAUAUCUGAUGGUUUUGUAUCACCUCUACUUGAUUUAGCAAUUAGAAUUUUCAGGUAGGUGUAAAUUAAUUUAAUUGUCACCUAAUCUUAAAGCUAUGCAGCAGUGACGUAUCUGUUACAACAGAUUAAUAAUUCCCAACCCAUUUACUUUUGUCAGAGUUCAUACCUUUUAUUGGUAAAUCAAUUUAGUUGUCACAUAUUUUGAAUUUUUAUUUUUUUUGAAGUGAAAUAUCAUUUAAGGCAUCCAGGCAAAUGAUAUUGUGCAGCAGAAUGAUUAUUGUUAUAUUUUUCUGAAAAGAAUUGCUCAUUAACCAACACUACAUUAUAUAGACUUACUACUUAAAAAAUUCAAAACUGAUUUUCCAUCGAAUAAUACCACGUGCAACGUCUCGAAAUUAUAAUUUAUGCAGAAUGUGAGUAAUUCAUGAAAGGGAUCUUACUGGUAUCCACUGUGCUGGGUCUUCUUUCACGGAAGGGAUCUCAUAUAUAGCCUUGUAACAGCGACAUAUUUCAAGGUAAUCAUUGCUAUGUGAGUAAUACCUGCAACAGAAGUAGAAAGAAUGACACACCAGUUUAAGAUACACAAAUGCAAAAAACGAUCUCCAAAUGAAAUCAUUCAUUCAUCUAGAGCUAUAUCACUCUAAAUAAGUAAGAAUCUCAUGCCUUAGGAUUGCUGACCUGCUAAAUCAACAAUUAAGAAAAUCAUGCAAGGUCACUCCAACCUAAAAAAUUUGGAGACAUGGCAAAAACUAUUCUAUGAUAAAUAAAAUAACUUUCAUUUACAUUUGAUAGGUGAUGCAACUUUGAAAGACCUUUACUACUUCAAAAGUCAGUAUCAGCUUAGGUGAAUUUAUAGGGUGUAGAUGAGCAUAACCAUGUCAUUUAAUUGUCAUGUAUUCUGAAUACAACUUCAAUCACUUCUUAUCAUCUUGAAAAGAAGUGCAAAGUAUAGCAGAACUACAAUUGUCUUCUAAAGUUUAGUCACCUGCUCCCAAUGAAAUUUAAAGAAUGGAAGUCCAUCCACAAAUAAACCAAAGCAAACAGAGCAAAUAUGGAACUAUCUCAAACAUGGAGCUCUGCAGAACUUACUUCAGUCUCUAUUUAUUCAAUGACAUCCAAGGUGUAUAAUCUCUUCCGGAAAAAAUAUGAAGUUUCUACUAAAAACAAACAUUUCUGACAAAGCACAGAUAACAUUCACUUUAAUCCUUUGGCACAGUUGAUAAGGGGAGGAAACUAGAAUCCUCAAAGACAACUAAAACAUAUAUAAAAUGAAGACAAUCAGAAUCUUUAUUCAGAAAACAUGUCUAACCCAAACUCAAAUGUAAGUAAGAUGUAGACAAACUGCCAGAAAAUGAGCAAAUAAGCAAAUUAUGUGCCUUAAAUACUAAUAUCUUCAGUCCCGAUACUGCACAAAUCACCAAAACUAAGUGCAGAAGUUGCAAGCUUUAAGUAUGAACACAUUAACUAUUCCAAGUUAUCUUAAGAAAAUAAAUUACGUUAUUUUAAAAUUAUACUCGGAUUGCAUGAAUCUGCUGAAUGCUUGAUAGUAAGAAGGGUGUUGCAUUCAACAAUUCUAGAGAAGGUAACUUGCUUAGCCACAUUUAUAACAUAAUCAGAUGUACCUAAUCAUUAAUUGAUAGUAGAUCUGCUUCAACUCUGGCAGUGACGGAAUAUCUGCAGCAGGUUCCUCAACCACAUUUUCACCCUCCUUUGCUUUCUUCUUUUCUUUAGAUGGAUCAGCUUCAAACACUCUGGGAUUGAUCUUUCUCGAGAGAAUUUGAGCACGAACAUAAUCUUUAUGAUCUAAGCAUAGACGAACCUGCAAUGUUCAGCACCACACAGUUGGUCCAAAAGCACGGUCUCGUUAAAAUUUUGGGUAUAAAGAGAAGGAAGAGUUUGCCCAUCAAAAAGGAUAAAAGAGAAGGAAGAGAAUCACAUACUUGUUCAAGAAUAAAGGCUAUCUUUUCAGUUUUUGCCAUCGCUCCAAAGGUUUCAACCUGUUAGUUAAGCCAUGGACACAUUACAUUGCAAGUGGGAAAAAACAUAAAGAGUAAGGACCAGAAUAUUGCAGUUAGACAUCAAUUGCACAAAGCAAAAAAGACCAAGAAGACACCAAAGUGAAGGUCAACAAACACUUACAGCAACUUCUUGCAUCAAAUCAGCAGCCUCGCCUAUGAGUUUUUGUUCUUCUUUAAUCUUUGCGAGCUUCUUAAUCAAGCGAGCUCUCUCAAUCUCAACGUAUAUCUGCAUUCCAGAUCAUAGUUGCUCAGUAGGAAAGAGAAUCAAAUUGCAGUGAUGUCUUUUCAUUAAAAUGAACAUGUCCUCACCUUUCCAGCAGACACACUGUUCAGUGUUUUGAUAAGUUCUAUCUUGGUGUCAAGAUCGGGCGUCUGGUCAAUGUAUUGCAUGGCCUGUUGGACCAUGGCCUGUACAGCCUGCAUAAGUACCAGGAAAAACACCAAGCAUAUUAUUAUAAAGUUUAAAGAGGAUAAAUGAAGCCAUAGUAUCAUGCAUCAGUGUCAUCGCAACUAGAGAAAGUGCUGAAAUGCCACAGGUAUAUUUUUCAUGAGAAUGGCUCAUGCCGUAUGCAUAUAUAUGGGGACAAGGAAGAGCAUAACUAAAAAGGCAUUUCAAUAUGGAAUGGACAGGACUCGGGGGACAGGACUCGGGAGCUUACAAAUACUCUAGUAUGCUUACCCGAUAUUCUCAAAACACAAGCACAUUGGUAGCCAAUUGCCCAAGCAUUUCACAUAUGAAGCCACAACAUGCAUGUUCCCAGGUAGAUGGUAAGUGAAAGCAAGUAAAGGCAAAAAAAUUCUAAUUAAGUAUGAAGCAAAUGCGAUCCAACUUCUUGAUCAUUUUUCAGUUCCCUAGCUUCAUCAUGCUAUGCAAUUCCAUGGUUCAAAUACUUCCUUGCAUCCUUGGGCAUUGCAUCUCCAAGUAAUUUCUAUUUUUUGUUCCUAUAAGUUCAAAGCAGAAGUAGUGCUUGGUAGAAUAGAAAUACCUGUCCCUAGGAAAACACAUCCAAGACCCGUGAUUACUUAUUCACUUAUACCCCAAAUCCAACAUUCUCCCAGAUAAAUUUUUGCAGCCAUAGGAAACCUGGCUUAAAAUUUCCACAAAUAUAAAGCUGCUAACCCACAACUUGGUUGCCAACAUAGGUUUUCUGUUUUUGUAUUUUGGUCGUAGUUGACAUUUUUCCUUGUACCUCACCCCUCCUUACCUCUAUUUGUUUGGAUUUGAUUCCUAGCAUUUCUUUAGGACCUCUUGACUAACAUCAUUAACCAAGAACUUGCCACUACAUUCAUCCUUUCCAAAUUCAUUCCCAACAGAGCUGGAAUGUGUCUUCAUCUUCUUUUUUGACAGGGUAAAAGCUCAAAUGUGUGUGUACCUAUCUUUAAUUUUAUUCAUGUCCUACUAAUCCGGUUUCAACCAUUUAUUUUCAUUCAACAAGCAUAAAUACGAAUAUUAGAUCUAGAGGUCGAGACACCAAUAUCGCCCUGAAAUAAUAAUCCUAAUAAACAUCUUCAUCAAAAAUCUGAAAAACGGCAUUGCAAACGAAGCAGUCUCUAAAGUAGUUCAUCAAUUAAACAGGCAAAAUCUUGGCACAACAUGGCAAUUGUAAACAACGACAUAUCCAGUGAAAUCCAAAUGAGGAUUUGAACUUGCAUAUUAAGUAUUAACCAUCCUGUAUGUAUUUCCCUUACCAGCAUUUCUUAUGCUGGAACACAAUAAUGGAAGACUCUCUUCAGUCUUUACUUCUUCUUUUUUAAUUAUUGAGACCCUUCAAAACAUGGGGGAAAUGGCCCCACCCUGCUUCUAUCGAUCCCCACCUAAAUACAAAGCUUGGUCCUCAUAGUGUAAGACUCACAAGUUCCUCAACCUUUUUUUUUAACUUAAGAGAGGCAAAAUUCAUCCAACACCCCUACCAAGUAGUACCCUUCUUUUAGCAGUGUUUAAGUGUAUGGGACGAGAGUUAGUUUUCCCGUAUCACUUAAAAAAGUAAAAAACAAACAGGAUAACUUUCCAUUUUUUCUAUGAAGACCACAGCCUAUCCAAACUCCUGCUUUAAUCAUGGAAGCAUUCACAGGUAGUCUCACAUAUCUUUUUAAUCAAGUAACCUAAAAUACUAAGCACUACUCUGUGUUUUUGCUUUUCCGAAGUCCAAACAAAGUAAAGAAUCUCUCUUCCAUUCCUUUUGUACCAAGCAAAGAAUAGAGAUGAGCCUAUCCACUCACCUAGACCUAGAGAAAAACAUUAACCCAACACCCUCACCUACUUCCUCAAGUUACAAGUCUGCUAAGCUAAAACUGAUGAAGUUUUGAAUUACACACUAAGGAAUCAGCACGUCUACCUGCUCUUUCCAUUGAAUUUACAGCAACACUACAAGAGUGAAAAAAAUAAAAAGAACAGUCUGAAAGUAAGUCCAGUACAUUGCCCUCUAAGUUCAAAACAUGCCUUCUAUCAGCAUAUCACAGGUGGGUUCUUCAUCAAAUCAAUUUUGCUAAUGUGAUGGUCAAGAUCAAAUUAGCUUAUUCACUCAGUAAAGUAUAACUAUAUGAAACUCAAUAGGUCAAAUCAAAACUUCAAUUACGUGAAAAAACAAGAUCUUUAGGUACUACCAACAGCUUAACGGCACACAGCACGCAAUAAUAUACUGAUCUCUAAAACUUCCUACUUUUUCCACGCAAUAAUUUACUGAUCUCUAAAACUUCCUACUUUUUCCUUCACAUAAUUUAGCAAACAAAAACAUGAUUUUCAAGACCAGAUUUAUAAACGAACCAAAACCCAAAUUUUGAAGUCGUAAAAAUCAACUAAUAAAUAAAUAAAAUAGACAAACGUGCCUGUUUCAAUUGUCCACGGCGCUUAGACAAUAGAACAAUCUGUUCAUUUAAAGUUUUCCAUGCGCGAGCUUCGAAGCAAAGCUGAAGAAUGUCUAUAGCUGCUUUUCUAGUAGCAGCGACAUCGCCAGCUUGCCUCAUCUGCUUCUCUACAUUCAGAAGCACCUCAAUUUGCGCCUCCAAUUUCCCAUCACCUUCCUGUAAACAACAAAACAUUUCAACUGAAUAAAGAUCAAAAAUCGAGCACGAAUUAUACAAAUCGAAGGAAAAUCGAAGUUUACCAUAUUGAUUAUUGAGUUUUUUUCGGAGUUCGAUUGAGAUCGAUUCUCAGAAACCCUAAAAGAGAGAGAGAGAGUCUGAAGACUUGUAAAAUUUACUUUCGAGUGUUUUAUAUUAUUUUAUUUGUAGUUUUCUUGUAGGAGUAGUUAUGCUCUGACAAAAAAGAGGGUUAAUAUCUUUUUGAAAACAAAUUAAAUCUACAUAUUUAAAAUGAUAAUAUUAUUUGAAAAUUACUCAUUUAAGACAUACCAAUUUGAAUAUGAAAAUUAAAAUAUAAUUUUGAAGUUUUAGAAUUGUGAAAGUUAGAAAAAAAGUAGGAUUUAUUUUAAAGUUGAAAAUGAUAUUUGAAAUUAAGUUGUAUGUAUAUAUGAAUGAGGUAUGUUUUUUCUAUUUUUAUGAGUGAUUUUGGAGUGGAAACUCUGAGAAUAGUUUUUUUGUAGUUUUUGAAAUUGAAUUUUGAAUUUUAUAAUAAUUUUAUGAAUUGAUAUUUUUUUGAUCUGUAGUUUUUCGAUCUAUACUUCUAGGAGCGGCGGGGCUUGGUUGAUUGGAGUUCUUUAUCCUCAACCAAUUUGAUUUUGUCCGUCUUGAACUAUUGAUAUAACAUUUUGUUAUAAGUUGGUUGAACAAAGAUAGAUUGAAGGUCAGAUGGACUUGAGUUCAAGUGAUACAAUAUCUUCGAUCGAUCAUCGGGCCUAUUUUAUAUUUGUUGAAUUCAUUCUAUUGAAGUGUAACGUUAAAAGUUUAUUCUCAUCUUAUUUGAAGUGAUAGAUUCUUUAUCGCUGAAUUUUAUAACAAAGGAAAGCUUUAACCAUAAUACAUUUUCAUUUGAUUGAAACAAGUUUUGUGUUGCUCACCACUCCUCAAAGCCAAAGACGCAGUUGAACCGUAAUUUCAAGAUUGCAAUCUUAUACACAUUACGUCACCUAUACAAACUCACCACCUCACGAGCCUAAGUCAAACAAUUGUUUUUCCUUCUCCGCUCAUUCUUUUUCUACAUAUGUGGGCAUGUGGCGGGUGGAUUACCGGAGAAGGGGGACAAUUCUUUUUCCUUUGUCUGGUUUAAUUUUUCUUUUCAGAAUGAAAGUAGCAAACACUUGAUACAUAUGGGACGCAUGUUCAAAUCAAUACUUUAUGUAGAUUGAGAUGAAUUGGUCUUAGUUUAUCAUGUCUCUCCUUUGUACUAGUUAUGAAUUUUCUCAUGCUCCAAACAACUUCUAGGUUAACGUUGAUUACAAAGGUUUGUACCACUGAGCUUGCUCCCCUUUAUAAGUAAAAUUGAGCGUGGCUUUAAUCGGGUUUGCCUCCGCUUCUUCUGCACAUGAGGAACCAACUGAGUGAAAAGUCACGCCAACUUUAGGUGGUUGUUGAUGAAAUUUGACCAUAUUAUUUAUAUAAAAUACAAACAUGAUAUUUGCAUAUGGAGACAUAGUAAAUUGAAAUUACUUGCAACUAAAUGAAACUUCACUUGAAUAACCAUUUUUCUCUCAUUUCUCCAUUUUCUCUGCCAUGGUUAUCAAACAAUGCAUAACUAUUUGUUCAAAUGUUAGUUUUUAUAUCCUUAUAUGGAACAAACUCUAAUAACAAGAACAGAUGUAUGCAUUGUUUAAAUUCAAGAGUUAGAUACAAACUAAAGAAUUCAAAUAGUUGUAGUUCUUCCAAUAAAUAGUUAAAACCAGCAAACACUUGUGAACCGAUUAUCCAUCUCAUCUCUUCACGAUAGCAGGGAGAGCCCAGCUCGAGAAAGAGACAUUGAUGCAUAUUCAUGGCUAGCAACAAGUAUUGUGUUGCGUCUUAAACAUCAAUAAAUGAUUAGUUGAACCUCCUUUUGAGUGAUCUAAAUAAUGUCAGCAGGAGAAAUCGGAAUGCAUGGGGAAAAUGGUGAUGUUAAAUUUGAUUUUUUUUCACUUGUUCUGCUUAAAGUUAGUAUGCGUGUCUGGAGGAAAGCUGAGACUCCUUACCAAACCCAAAAUCAGCCUCAGAACGACCAAUUGGCGACCUGUCACUUCCUCUACCUCUAACAUCACCAAUUCCUCAGAGUUGCGGCGUUGGGAUAUCUUCAUAAUAUCAUCUCCAAUAUCAACAUCAUAUUCCACCUUAAUUUGUGUAUCCCCCAUCAGAGAUAUUUAUAUUUGUUUCUUGAAUGUUACUCUUAGGAGGCUUUGACGCCCCUUCUUGUACAUAGCUGCGAAAAUUGAUUUUUGAAGGUUCAAUCCUUGUGCAGAAUAGUUGAAGAAAAUCUUUUAUGCAUCCCCGGUUAUACACCCUGUUGUCUCCCUCAUAACGGAAGUUCUCAUAUGUGGUCUGCAGAAAUCAUUAGCAAUAAAACAAUUAAAAAAUGUAUAAUAAGAAGACAUCAAUCCCCUUUAUCCAACAAUAACUAAAAGUUGUAUAUCUAUCAACUAUUUUUUCUUAAUGUCCGAUAGGAUCACAGAAAACAUUCAUAUUGUUCCUCUUUCAAGCACUCCUUUUUUACUACUAAAAAGUUACUCCUUCAAAUGUUUUUUCAAUUCUUUUUCUUUAGGAAAUUAUGGAAGACAAGAAGAAUAAAGUUUAAAAUAGUAGAGAAUCUUAUGAAAUGAAACACAAAUGGAAAAAAGAGCAUAAGAUGAAACAAACUUUCGCAUUUGUUCUUUAUAGCUAAAUCAACGAGUCCAGCCCGUAGAGAGGCUCUUAUGAGGAAUAUAUAAACCAUUAUCAUGAACAAAGAAACAACACACUCACAGAUUGGCAAAGGGAAAAAACAUUAGAAAGAAAUAUAUAUUACACGAGGAAAUACAUGUUUUACAUUUUUUAAUUUAGAUGAUCUUAAGUCUUAACUAUAGAUCAUAUUCUUGAAAUAGAACAUUCCACUUCCUCUAAUAUAUUAUGAAUUAAAAAAAUCAUAUAAACAUUUGUCACAUUUUUUUCUGGAAAAACAACCCUUGAAAAAUAACGAACAAAAUGUAAAGAAGAAACGUCAAUAGAGAAUUCCCUCCAUGAUUACAAAUAGAGGCCAAAAGGGAGUCAUUAUAUUCUAUGUUUCUCCUAAUCAAUUGUAUUUAACUUUCUAAAUGCAUGGACAAGUGUCCCUGACAAGCCAUCAAUCACUUUGAAGGGAUGCAUACUUGUGUCCUCUAACACCAUGACAAUAAUGGAGUUGUCAUGUUGGAAUAAAAAAUAUUACUAUGAUUGAUAGUACUCAGAUGCAAUACAACAGAAAAGCUUUUAAAUUAUUAAUUGUAAGAGGUUUCAAACCAAACUAACCUGAUUUGUACCAAUGAGAUACAAAUGGAAGCCAGUAAGAACUCCAACAAACCACAGUGCAACAAAACAAUAAGUCAUCAAUGCUGCAGAUGUCGGUGAUUCUUUGAAAGCUUUCCAAAGAGUUCCAGAAUUAUCCAUGAGAAGUUUCAGAUACAAAGCCGAUAUGGAAAAGACGAAAACACAAAGGAGGGCUGUUGAAGAAACAAAUAGAAAGAAGCACCGAUAGUUCUGUUGUGCACCAACAAAGAAGAAGAGAAAAAAUUAAAGUGUCUCAAUAGGAUAUCUAAAGAGCAUUUUAAAUAGAAGAAGAGCUUCUCCUCCUAAAAUUGAUAUUAACUUUUUUCCAAUAUCAACAUUUUGGAGUCAGGAUACAGUUGGCACAUUUCAUCUUUAAAUGAAUCAAAUAAAUUAGGAAGCGUAAGAAAAGCAACAAAUAGAAAAUCAUCCAUGGAACUUAAAGAAAAAGAAAUAGUAAUGAAAAAAUGGAUGUACUUACCUUCCCAAUGCAUUGACCCACCCAAGGGCAAUGAUGAUCAAAUCGCUCCACACAAUUAUCACAUACCGAACAAUGAGAUCAUCUUGGUGGAUGGUACAACAUGCACGUUUCACAAUAUUUAACUCGUAUAGGCAAACCAUUCACAAGGACUUCAUUGAAGCGAGGCAGUCUACUGCUAGUUUCAACGCAAGCUGAGGAAUCAUACCCUCGAACUUCCUCUGGAGGAUGAUAAUAACAAUGUCAGGAUCCUUUGCUGAUGUUGAAAGUAGAAGUAUAAAGACCUAUGGCAACCAAUACCACAUUAGGAAAUUGAAAUAAUAAGAAACAACGGAAUAGAGCAUUAUGAUGACUAUAGGAUUCCAACUGGUGUAAACCACCUGGCCACCACAAAAGAAUAUAUGUGCGUCUUCAAGAAUAAGCGCUAACCUUAUGAGAAUAAAGAAGAACGCACAUUGGAAGUUAUGAAAGUUAAGCAAAAAAACAGGGGUAAAGGCAGUUGACAACAACGUAAGCAACAAGGUGAGUAAAGUGGGUAUCUUGACAGAAAUCAAGGCUCUACUUCUUUUUGGGAGGGAAAAAGGGGAAGACAAUCUCAUAGACAGAUUUCUGUUCAAAAAAAUUAAGAAGGAACACAUGGGAUUUUCCUGAAACAUACGCAAAGUCUGACGGAUCACUAACAGGCACUAAAAGGAAGAGUUAAUAAACUAACAUAAAUUGUGAAGACAAUAGUUAUCACCAAAAUUGCAUAUCCUGCACUUUCUCAUUAGAGUUCAACCACGGGAUUUCUUGCCACAAAUGCAUAAAAUAGAACAACAGGGACAAGGAUGAGCAUGAAAGUGAUUAUCAAUUACUUAGCAUCUGGUCCAAAUAUUAGCCUCCCACCAAGCAAGAAUUUCUGCACAUUACAUAAACCACAAAAAAAGAGUCAAGUACAAGGACAUAUGUCCAAGUGAAAAAUAACAUACUCAUACUCACAGUCGCAAAUUAAUAGAUAGAUUCUUGUUUUAGGAAACAAACAAUUGAUCACCAUAUGUAAGUUACUUUAUAGACAGCAAAAUUAAGAAGUUCCCUUGGGUGUUGAAGGUGAAUUGGAGCAUCACAGUCACUUCUCUUUUUCUUUUCUGACAAGAAAGGUUUUUUUAAGGAGAAACCAUAGUUUUAAAAUUUGAGGUAGUAAAUUUUAAGUGCACUCAUAUUUGAGAAGAUGAGAGCUUUUGCCUUCUAUAUUGUCACUAGGCACCAAAAGAUCCUUUUAAUGAUCAAAGAAGGCUAAGAUCCCCAGCUACAUUACAGUUUCCAAGGAGUUUGUAACAGUUUGCAAAGUCUUGUGAAAUAGAAAAAUUGUUUGAUUCAUUUCACCAUUUGGUGCCUUAACUGAAUCACAUUGUCGGUAUACCCUUGAACCUCCAAGACAUAUUAUAUAUUACCCCUUCUAAUUAAAAGAUGCAUCAACUUAUGGCCUACCUACAAAAAUGACUCUAACAUUAGGAACUUGCAAGUUUGAUCAACAAGUCUCUGGUAUUUGGUAUUACAUCUCAAUAUUCAAGCCACCGCUGCCUUUCAGUAGACUAACUCCUACAUAAACAAAAUUGUGAUCUAAAUUUUGCACUAAAUUUAAACUUAAAAUCUCAAACAUAAGUAAAAAUGUAUUCAGGUGCUCUUUGUCGGUACCAAUAUCACAAUUAUGCUCGCAUAUAUUGGACAUAGGAGGCAUCAAGUAGCAGCGUUCACAUUUCUAUCAGCUGACCCUAGUCUACUAAUAGGAACAACCACUUCCUAUGUUGAAUAAAAACUUCCAGAUUACACCAAAAAUUUCCAGGCAACUCAUUUUUCUGCAAAUACUGUGAUGCUCACAUUUACUGACUUUUCAUCAAUUUGAAUUGAAUUAUUUAUAGUUAAAUGAUAAAAAUAUUGACAAUCACAACAAUGUCAUGUACUUAUUACUAAGAUAAAUUAUGAUUUUAUCUAUAUCUACGGGAUAUGCUAUAUAUAUAUAUAUAUAUAUAUAUAUAUAUAUAUAUAUAUAUAUAUAUAUAUAUAUAUAAUACAGAGAAAAAAUUCAUAACAAUACAAUCUUUCCUUUGGGAAGAAAAGUACAGCCAUGAUCACAUAUUUUGCAAGUGUCAUUAAGAAUUUCUCUUUCAAUGAGAAAAGUACCCUGCUAAUAGUGAUAGUCAAAAGCAGUAUGUCCGAAGGAUAGCACGUGAACAGACACAUAUAAAAAGAAUACGGGCAUGAGAAAAAAAACAAUGUCUCCUUUAAGUGACCAUUCAUCUCUUUCCAGUCAGGCCAUUCUCGUCUCUUCCUGACAGUUUGAGAAAAAAAAUCCUCUGCAGUGUCCAUUAAUUUUUUUUAAUAAAUGGUACCCACUGCCUAUUCUUAUCUAACCCUGCAAUUGUUCCACCAGCACAUGCCAUGUUUGAUAUCACCAUCAGUAAGAUGACAAGUUUCCGUGAACAAUUUUAUAGUUAAUACUUAGUUAGCGCUAAGCUUCUGUACAAAAACAUGUUUUGGUUAAUGAAUAUUUAGUGUCAUGUUACCAUCCAGUAACACGUCUUCAGUCAAAGCUCAAUCAGCAGCAUGCAGUAGUCCUGCAACACAUUGUCAUUCAUCAACACACUUUUUUUUUUGGAUACGGUAAAGAUUUAUUAAUUAGGUAACAAGAAGGUACCAAAAUCAAAAGUUACAAAAAGACUGCUGGAGAUAUCCAUACAUCAAUUACAACAUCUCCUUAGCAGCUCCAAAAACUCCAUAUAUUGAUCUAUAUUAUCAAGGAGACUAAUUUUACACCAGCAAACAAAUUAUGUAAACACUUAAUUUAUCUCUAGAAAUAUGGUCUUUUAGCUUAUCAAAACAAGCUUUAUUUUUUUCUAUCCAGAAAGUCUAGAAUAUGCACAAAGGUAUAGUUCUCCAUAUUUGCUUCAAAGCUUUAUGUUCUCUUGUGCUGUCAACUCUCCAAUACUUUCUUCACACGCAGAGGCAUGAUCGAAGAGAUCUCGCAAAUACUGAAGAAAAAUUUCCAACAUUUUCUAGCUAUUCUACAAUAAAAAAGAAGGUGAUUCACAAUCUCCAACUCUUCUUCACAUAUAUAACAUUGAUUACUUAUUGCAAAACCCUUUUUCUGAAGAUUAAUCCUACCAAAACAAGCUAUCUUUAUAGGGCUUUAGUUCUCCAAAUCCCUUUCUAGGGCCAACUAGUAUCCCAAAAUCUUGUUUGCUUGAUUAGAAGGUUAUAACACUUUUUUACUGAAACGGUUACAUCAUUACUAGCUAUCCAUACUAGUGAAUCCCUUUUACUCUGAUCAAUGUGGGUAUAAUCCAGUUGAAGGAUCAAUAGACAAAAAUCAUCAAUUUCCCAAUCAUUCAUAUUCCUUGUAAAAUUCAUAUGACAUCCCGUGUUGGAAGAAAAUUCAACAAGAACUCUAUCUUUGUUAUUGCAACAACUGAAAAAAAAAGGAAAUUUUUGUUUCAAGCACUCAUCACCCAUCCAUAAGUCAGUCCAAAAUCUUAUUUUAACUCCAUUGCUAACCUCAAUUUGGUGAAUUGUUGAAACUUGGCCCAUAACUUACAAAUGUCUUUCCAUACUUCCCCUCUAGUGUAUGAAAUAUUUGAAGGGAGAUUCCAGCCUUGUCUGCUGCCAUAGAUUGCUUCAAUUAUUUUGAUCCAGACUGCCCCUUCGCUCCUGCUAAAUCUCCAAAGCCAUUAACACAACAUGCUUUUAUGCUUUUAUUCUGCAAUCUCAAGUUCCUAAUCCACAACCCACUCCCUUCCUUUGCACUAGUGACCACUUGCCAUCCAACUAAGCGAAACUUUUUGUUGCUACGAUUUCCUUCCCAUAAAAACUUAUUCGUCAUAGAGUUCAUCUUUCUUCCAAUUGCAUCAGCCAUAGCAAAUAAUGACAUUAGAUAGGAAUACAUACUAUCUAAACAAUGUCAGUUUAGAUAGCAUCACGUUAUUAAUCUGCCACACAUAGCCCAGUGCUCUCACCAUCGACAUUGACAUUCAGUAAUCCUUUACCAGUCAACACAGUUGGUGGCAUGUUGUUGUCCAACUAUACAUCACCGUCCAAUAAUAUGUUUCUACUCAGGAUAAAGUGAGCACCACAAUAUUGUCAGGGAUAUGGCAUUAUUUUGUUAUCAGAGUCACAAAUUAUUAGUAACUCAAGUCGCUUCACGAGUUAUAUUAAAAUAUAAGAUAAUUAAUGUCAUGGCAAUAAAUGCACCGCUAUUAAAGUCAAUAUCAGCGUUAUAGUAGUAAGUUGUGUAAUAAUUGUAUAAAUAUGCCAGUACCAAAAUUAACGCAUCUAAUGCACUUCAUUCAAUCCUUUAUCAAUGUAACAACCUGUUUAGUCAUUCGAGCAAUAGAAUCAUUGGUGAUAAAAACUGACUGGGUCGACGGAUCACGCGACGGACCGUCAUCUUCACGACGGACCGUGAUGGACUCCGUCGUUCCCAUACUUGUGUAAUUUCUUCUGCUGCUCUCCUCAUUACCCUCGACGGCAGGUAGGACGAACCGUCACAGGCACGACGGUCCGUUGAGCGUCUUCGUUCCAAAGCAUUUUAAUUAUGAAAUCUGAGUACUGGGGUCGACUCUCUAAACUUCGUGAAGGAACUGCAGGACGGACCAUCAGAGGUUGCGUAACCUCACUAUUGAAUUUAACUCUCUGAACUUUGUGACGGAACUGCAGGAAGGACCGUCACCGAUACGAUGGGCCGUCACAAGUUGUGUAACCCAAACUGGGUCAGAUUUCUGCUAAAAGUUUUAAAGGGGUGUUUUGGACUAUUCAUCAUUUUAAUUAUGGAAUUAGUGGGGUAAGUUUAAUAAAUUAUUUACUUGGGGGUUAAAGAAGAUAAUAAGGAAAUAAAUAGUGGGUUACUUUUAUCAUAACAGAUUAUAUGAUAAUUAGGGUAAAAGAAAAAGAAUCUGCAGAAGGAAAAUAAAAAGAACGGGAAGAGGGGAGAACGAGCGAGAGAGAGAGAACGAAGAGGAAAGCAAAGGCAUUGGGAAGUAUCUUGCUUGAUCACGAUUCUUCGGUGGAGGUAGGUUAUGAUUUGUUUCUAUGUGAUAGAUAAACUCUAAAUAGCGAUUGAUAUGUAUUGGGUGGUAUUGUAAAGUCUUUUAUAUGCUUGAUUGUGUGUUUGUAUGCUGUGAUUGUGUAAUUGUGGUGGUCAGAAUGAUGAGACUGUUGAAUUUUCAAUCUUAAAUCCUAUCUAUUAAGAUGACGUCUUGACAUAAAGAAGGCUUGAUGAACUAAAAUAAUGAGAUAAAUGGAUCAGAGUGUCACGUUCCGACACGGUAGCAUUAGGGGAUCGGAGUGUCACAUUCCGACACGGUAGCAUUAGGGGAUCGGAGUGUCACGUUCCGACAUGGUAGUAUUAGGGGAUCGGAGUGUCACGUUCCGACAUGGUAGCAUUAGGGGAUCGGAGUGUCAAGUUUCGACACGGUAGUAUUAGGGGAUCGGAGUGUCACGUUUUGACACGAUAAUGAUAAAGAGAAUGAAUCUUGAAUUAUGUUAAUAUACUUAAAUUCGAAGAACCUAUUUUCGAAAUGAGUAUGGUGUGGAGGCUUGAGUCCUCAUAGGUGAGCUUGGUGUUGUUGCCAAUGGUUUUGUUACUUGUUGAUUGUCACCUGUUAAGUAUUGUGGUUGAUUUUAUAUUAUUAUUCAGCAUAUAUUGUUUUCUAUUUUGAGUUGGCCGAUGAUACCUACUCAGUACGUGUUCCUUGUACUGACCCCUACUUGUGUUUUCUUCUUUGUUAUUUAUGGAGUGCAGCAAACGUGCCAUCGACUUCGACUCGUCCUCAGAUCUAGCCAGUCUUCAGCAUAUCAGAGUUCAGGGUGAGCUAUUAUUCCUAGCUCGUACUGGAUUCUCUCCUUCACGUCUUGAUGUCUUGAAGUUAGGACAUGGACCAUCUUUUUACUAUUUUUAGCUUCUUAAAUACUCUUAGAUUUAGAAAUUUAAGGAUAGAUGUUCUUGGUGUGAUGACUUCCAGAUUUUGGGAAUAAUAAGUAUUUAACUUUAGAAGUUGAUUUAAUUGAUUUCGUUAAUAAUUUUGGAUCUUCCGCAUUAUUUUUACUAUUCAUAAUUGAUAUACUGGUAAAUGUUGGGGUUUAGAUUUGUUGGUUCUCUCACCUAGGAAGAUAAGUGUGGGUGCCACUCGCGGCUCAUUUUGGGUCGUGACAAACUUGGUAUCAGAGCGUUAGGUUCAUUGGUCUCAUCACACAAGAACGAGUCUAGUAGAGUCUUGAAGAACGGUAGAGGGACACCCUUACUUUUCUUUGAAAGGCUAUAGGACUUUAGGAAAAUUCCAUUCUUUCCUUUUUUCGUGCUAUUACUUGGAUCCAAUUGGUAUCUAGGUGAUACAAAUUGGUAUCUGACAUCCUCACUCUAUUUUGCAGAUGGUUAGAACUAGAGAAACAACUGUGCCAACACCAACACCGGCAAGACAGGGUGUGUUUGAGCCAACCAUUGGGGCUGUAGCUCGAGGAGGAGAAGUGGCAAGAGGCCGUGGUAGAGGUCGCAGGAGGACGUCCUCUAGAGGUAGAGGACAAACACCUGGUCCAGCUAGCAAUAGGGCGGUGACUCCUCCACCAACUGAUGAGGUAGUAAGAGAGGUUGAGGAAGGGGAAAAUGAGCAGGUGCAAGAUGAGGAAUUACCACCCCAACCUACCCCAGAGAUGAUCAACCAGGUUCUUACUUAUCUUAGCGGGUUAUCUGAUCAGGGCCAGACACCUCCAGUGUUUCCUGUACCAGCACCUCAGGUUUCGGGAGUACAACAUGCAACUGCUGUGGCUCCCUGCAUGGAUGCCUCAUUGGAAGUAGGCACGUUUCCUCGAUUGACUACAGGGUCUAUAAUGACGGGUAAUCAGCAUGAACUUUUCACUAAAUUCUUGAAGUUGAAACCUCCAGUCUUCAAGGGUGCUGAAUCUUAGGAUGCCUAUGAUUUUCUAAUUGAUUGUCAUGAGCUGCUACAUAAGAUGGACAUAGUAGAACGAUUCAGUGUUGAGUUUGUGACAUAUCAGUUUCAGUGGAAUGCCAAAAUGUGGUGGCGGUCGUAUGUUGAGUGUCAACCAGCACAGGCACCACCUAUGACUUGGACAUCAUUCUCUAGCUUAUUUAUGGAAAAGUAUAUACCCCGGACUUUGAGGGAUAGGAGGAGAGAUGAGUUCUUAAGCCUAGAGCAAGGAAGGAUGUCUGUUGCUGCUUAUGAGGCCAAAUUUCGUGCGCUAUCCAGGUAUGCCACUUAGCUUUGCUUCAGUCCACAAGAGCAGAUUCGCCACUUUGUGAAAGGAUUGAGGUCAGAUUUGUAGGUCCCAGCCUUACAGGUAGCUGCUGCAGCAAAAUCCUUUCAGGAAGUGGUUGAUUUUGUGAUAGAGGUGGAGGGGGUGAAGCCAGACGACUUCACCAUGGCGUCGACAUCUAAGAAGUUCCGUAAGGAAGGUGAGUUUAGUGGUUCUUACUCCAGAGGGCAGAGUUCAAGAGGUUACCCAGGCCGACCUAUUCAGUCUUCACUGCAGACUGUAGCUGGGGGUCCAUCGCAGACCAGUCAAUAUUUCUCUGUGUUUGGAGGUUAUCCCCAGACUUCAUCAUUCUCACAAAGACCUAUGCUUGACUCCAGAGAUUGUUAUGUAUGUGGAGAGACUGCACAUAUUAGGAGAUAUUGUCCAAAACAGAGUUACAGAACCCCAAUAGUUAGAGGUAGAGGUGGUCAUGGGAGAGGCCUCCAUUCUGGAGGACGUGGUGGCCAAGGUAAUGGUGGUCACCAAAUCAGCCGGGGUGGCGGGCAAGUUGGAGCUACUGCAGCGCAACAUGGUAAGGGCAACAGGCAGACAGGUGACAGGGCCCAUUAUUAUGCUUUCCUCGGGAGGUCUGAAGCAGAGGCAUCUGAUGCUGUUAUCACAGGUAAUCUUUUGGUUUGUGAUUGCAUGGCUUCUGUAUUAUUUGAUCCUGGAUCCACAUUUUCAUAUGUAUCUUCCUCCUUUGCUACUGGUCUUGAUGUAUAUUGUGAUUUGCUUGACAUGCCUAUUCGUGUCUCUACUCCUGUGGGGGAGUCUGUGAUAGUUGAGAAGGUUUAUAGGUCUUGUCUUGUGACUUUUGUGGGGAGCAAUACUCAUGUAGAUUUGAUUAUUCUAGAAAUGGUUGAUUUUGAUGUGAUUCUGGGUUUGACUUGGCUUUCUCCAAAUUUUGCAAUCUUAGAUUGUAAUGCUAAAACUGUGACAUUGGCCAAGCCUACGACAGAUCCGCUAGUGUGGGAGGGCGACUACAUUUCCACUCAAGUUCAUAUCAUCUCUUUUCUUCGUGCUAAGAGAAUGGUUAGUAAGGGUUGUUUAGCUUUCUUGGCACAUUUCAGGGAUGAUACUUCCCAAGUACCUUCGAUUGAGUCUGUCUCGAUAGUCCGUGAGUUUCGGGAUGUGUUUCCUGCAGACCUUCCUGGUAUGCCACCAGAUAGGGAUAUUGAUUUUUGUAUUGAUCUAGAGCCGGGUACUCGCCCCAUUUCCAUACUCCCUUAUCGAAUGACCCCAGCUGAGUUAAGGGAGUUAAAGGCCCAACUUCAGGAGUUGUUAGGUAAAGGCUUUAUUAAACCAAGUGCAUCCCCUUGGGGUGCUCCUUUUUUAUUUGUGAAGAAGAAGUAUGGAAGUUUUCGGAUGUGGAUAGACUACAGGCAACUGAAUAAGGUAACUAUUAAGAACAAGUAUCGUCUUCCUUGCAUUGAUGAUUUGUUCGAUCAGUUACAAGGUGCUUGUACCUUUUCAAAAAUUGAUUUGAGAUCUGGUUAUCAUCAAUUGAAAAUACGGGCAGCAGAUGUGCUAAAGAUUGCUUUUGGAACCAGGUAUGGGCAUUAUGAAUUCUUAGUAAUGUCUUUUGGGCUUACGAAUGCCCCUGCUGCUUUCAUGAGCCUGAUGAACGAGAUUUUUAAGCCAUAUCUAGACCUCUUUGUUAUAGUAUUUAUUGAUGAUAUACUGAUAUACUCAAAGAGCAGGAAAGAACAUGAGGAGCAUUUGAGAAUUGUAUUGGAGUUGUUAAGAGAGAAAAGACUUUAUGCCAAAUUCUCCAAGUGUGAGUUUUGGCUCGAUCUAGUGUCCUUCUUGGGGCACGUGGUUUCUAAGGAUGGAGUGAUGGUGGAUCCAUCUAAGAUUGAAGUAGUGAAGAGUUGGGUAAGACCUACUAAUGUUACAGAGUUAAGGAGCUUUGUUGGUUUAGCUAGCUACUACCAUCGAUUUGUUAAGGGAUUUUCUUCUGUUGCUUCCCAAUUGACAAAUUUGACUAAGCAUAAUGUUCCAUUUGUAUGGUCGGACGAAUGUGAAGAAAGCUUCCAGAGCCUCAAGACCUUGUUGACUACUUCACCAAUUCUUAUAUGGCCAGUGGAAGGUAAGGAUUUCAUUGUUUACUGUGAUGCAUCUUAUUCUUGUUUGGGUGCAGUGCUAAUGCAAGAGAGGAAUGUAAUUUCUUAUGAUUCGAGGCAAUUAAAAGUGCAUGAACGUAACUAUCCGACCCAUGAUUUGGAGUUGGCUGCAGUUGUGUUUGCAUUAAAGCAAUGGAGACAUUAUCUAUAUGGUGUCAAGUGUGAAGUUUAUACAGAUCAUCGUAGUUUACAGUAUGUCUUUACUCAGAAAGAUUUGAAUUUGAGGCAGAGAAGGUGGAUGGAACUACUGAAGGACUAUGAUAUGACUAUUUUGUAUCACCCAGGAAAAGCUAAGUUGUGGCACAUGCUUUAAGUAGAAAGGCAAGAAGCAUGAGAAGUCUAGCCCACUUACAGGUUUCUAGAUGCCCAUUGGCUAGAGAGGUUCAGACUGUGGCUAAUGACUUUAUGAGGCUGGAAAUACAAGAGAAGGAAGGAUUUUUGGCUUGUGUGGAGGAAAGAUCUUCUUUUCUUGACAGGAUUAAGGGAAAACAGUUUACUGAUGAGAAACUGACCCGAAUUCAAGAUAUGGUAUUACGAGGAGAGGCUAAAGAGGCAAUAAUUGACGAGGAAGGCAUUUUGAGAAUUAAGGGAAGGGUAUGUGUGCCCCGUGUUGAUAAUUUGAUUCACACUAUUCUUACAGAGGCUCAUAGUUCAAGGUAUUCUAUACAUCCUGGUGCAACCAAGAUGUAUCGUGACCUAAAGCAACAUUUUUGGUGGAGUAGAAUGAAGCGUGACAUUGUUGAUUUUGUUGCCCAAUGCCCGAAUUGUCGGCAGGUAAAGUAUGAACACUAGAGGCCCGGAGGAACACUUCAGAAAAUGCCCAUUCCUGAAUGGAAAUGGGAAAGAAUUGCAAUGGAUUUUGUGGUUGGUCUUCCAAAGACAUUGAGUAAAUUUAAUUCUAUUUGGGUAAUCGUUGACAGAUUAACUAAGUCUGCUCACUUCAUUCCGGUCAAGGUGACUUACAAUGCAGAGAAGUUAGCCAAACUCUAUAUCUCAGAAAUUGUUCGGUUGCAUGGAGUUCCACUUUCCAUCAUAUCAGACAGAGGUACGCAAUUUACUUCUAAAUUUUGGAGAACAUUGCAUGCUGAAUUAGGUACUAGGUUGGAUCUUAGUACUGCAUUUCACCCUCAGACCGAUGGUCAAUUUGAGCGAACGAUUCAGGUGUUGGAGGAUAUGUUUUGUGCAUGUGUGAUAGAAUUUGGUGGUCAUUGGGAUAACUUCUUACCCUUAGCAGAGUUUUCAUACAAUAAUAGCUAUCACUCAAGUAUUGAUAUGGCCCCAUUUGAGGCACCGUAUGGGAGGAGAUGUAGGUCUCCCAUUGGUUGGUUUGAUGCAUUUGAGGUUAGACCUUGGUACUGAUCUUCUGAGGGAAUCAUUAGAUAAAGUAAAAUUCAUCCAGGAGAAGCUUCUAGCAGCUCAAAACAGGCAGAAAGAACAUGUAGAUCGAAAGGUUAGGACUUGGAUUUUAUGGAGGGUGAGCAAGUCUUGCUGAAGGUUUCACCCAUGAAAGGGGUGAUGCGGUUUGGUAAGCGAAGUAAGCUUAGUCCAAGGUAUAUUGGUCCAUUUGAAGUUCUGAAGCGCGUGGGGGAGGUGGCUUAUGAAUUGGCAUUGCCUCCAGGACUCUCAGGAGUGCACCCGGUAUUUCAUGUGUCUAUGCUGAAAAAAUACCAUAGGGAUGAAAACUACAUUAUUCGUUGGGAUUCAGUUCUUCUUGAUGAGAAUUUGUCUUAUGAGGAGGAGCCUGUUGCCAUUUUAGAUAGAGAAGUCCGCAAGUUGAGAUCAAAGGAGAUUGCAUCUAUCAAGGUUCAGUGGAAAAAUCGGCCAGUUGAAGAGUCCACUUGGGAGAAUGAGGCUGAUAUGCAAGAAAGAUAUCCACAUCUUUUUACAGGUUCAAGUACUCUUUCUCGCCCUUGCUUUUCUUCUUGUGAUCGUUCGAGGACGAACGAUUGGUAAAUUGGUAUCUAUUGUAACAACCUGUUUAGUCAUUCGAGCAGUAGAAUCAUUGGUGAUAAAAACUGACUGGGUCGACGGAUCACGCGAUGGACCGUCAUGGUCACGACAGACCGUGAUGGACUCCGUCAUUCCAUACUUGUGUAAUUUCUUCUGCUGCUCUCCUCAUUACCCUCGACGGCAGGUAGGAAGAACCGUCACAGGCACGACGGUCCAUCGAGCGUCUUCGUUCCAAAACACUUCAACUCUGAAAUCUGGGUACUGGGAUCGACUCUCUGAACUUCGUGACGGAACUGCAGGACGGACCGUCAUAGAUACGACAGACCGUCACAAGUUGCGUAACCUCACUAUUGAAUUUAACUCUUUGAACUUUGUGACGGAACUGCAGGACGGAUUGUCGCUGAUACGACGGGCCGUCACAAGUUGCGUAACCCCAACUGGGUCAAAUUUCUGCUAAAGGUUUUAAAGGGGUGUUUUGGACUAUUCAUGAUUAUAAUUAUGGAAUUAGUAGGGUAAGUUUGAUAAUUUAUUUAUUUGGGGGUUAAAGAAGAUAAUAAGGAAAUAAAUAGUGGGUUACUUUUAUCAUAACGGAUUAUAUGAUAAUUAGGGUAAAAGAAAAAGAAUCUGCAGAAGGAAAAUAAAAAGAACAGGAAGAGGGGAGAACGAGAGAGAGAGAGAACGAAGAGGAAAGAAAAGGCAUUGGGAAGUAGCUUGCUUGAUCACGAUUCUUCGGUGGAGGUAGGUUAUGAUUUGUUUCUAUGUGAUAGAUAAACUCUCAAUAGCGAUCGAUAUGUAUUGGGUGGUAUUGUAAAGUCUUCUAUAUGCUUGAUUGUGUGUUUGUAUGUUGUGAUUGUGUAAUUGUGGUGGUCAGAAUGAUGAGACUGUUGAAUCUUCAAUCUUAAAUCCUCUCUAUUAAGAUGACGCCUUGACAUAAAGAAGGCUUGAUGAACUAAAAUAAUGAGAUAAAUGGAUCAGAGUGUCACAUUCCGACACGGUAGCAUUAGGGGAUCGGAGUGUCACGUUCCGACACGGUAGCAUUGGGGGAUCAGAGUGUCACGUUCCGACACGAUAGUAUUAGGGGAUCGGAGUGUCACGUUCCAACACGGUAGCAUUAGGGGAUCGGAGUGUCAAGUUUCGACACAGUAGUAUUAGGGGAUCGGAGUGUCACGUUCUGACACGAUAAUGAUAAAGAGAAUGAAUCUUGAAUUAUGUUAAUAUACUCAAAUUCGAAGAACCUAUUUCCGAAAUGAGUAUGGUGUGGAGGCUUGAGUCCUCAUAGGUGAGCUUGGUGUUGUUGCCAAUGGUUUUGUUACUUGUUGAUUGUCACCUGUUAAGUAUUGUGGUUGAUUUUAUAUUAUUAUUCAGCAUAUAUUGUUUUCUAUUUUGAGUUGGCCGAUGAUACCUACUCAGUACGUGUUCCUUGUACUGACCCCUACUUGUGUUUUCUUCUUUGUUAUUUGUGGAGUGCAGCAAACGUGCCAUCGACUUCGACUCGUCUUCAGAUCUAGCCAGUCUUCAGCAUAUCAGAGUUCAGGGUGAGCUAUUAUUCCUAGCUCGUACUGGAUUCUCUCUUUCACGUCUUGAAGUUAGGACAUGGACCAUCUUUUAACUAUUUUUAGCUUAUUAAAUACUCUUAGAUUUAGAAAUUUGAGGAUAGAUGUUCUUGGUGUGAUGACUUCCAGAUUUUGGGAAUAAUAAGUAUUUAACUUUAGAAGUUGAUUUAAUUGAUUUCGUUAAUAAUUUUGGAUCUUCCGCAUUAUUUUUACUAUUCAUAAUUGAUAUACUGGUAAAUAUUGGGGUUUAGAUUUGUUGGUUCGCUCACCUAGGAGGAUAAGUGUGGGUGCCACUCGCGGCUCGUUUUGGGUCGUAACAAUCAAGCUCAUAUAUAUUUCUACAUUUUCUACAAUCUCCCGAAGGUAUGUAAUCACUCUUCCUAGUUGUCGAGUGCUUCCUAACUUUUAACACCUAUAUCAGGAGGCUCUUGUAUCUUAUUUGCAUCAAGAGAUAAACAUUUUUUUUGGAUAAGCAGUGUAAUUGAUGUAAGAAGGAGAAAUCCACAUAUUCAAUUCGUUUACCAAAAACAUCAAGUUAAUAAGGAUGAUAUUUGUUCUUUCCUAAUUUCCACUUUACCUUAGGUUUUCACAACUAGAAGUGUCAAAUCUUGCAAAAAUCCUUAUAAUUUUAGGCCUCAAAUGACCAUCCUACUAAAAGUAUCAAAAUUUAGAUCAAAGAGUAUGCCCCGCGUCACACUAGAUAUAGUAUAUUGAGACCAUAACUAUCGUUUUGAUACUAAGUUGUCCGGACUCUUCAUUUUUGCUAUAGCACCCUGUCGACAUGACAUGGGUGUGAAAUUCAUACCCAAUCGGGCCAACCGAUUUUAGGUACUUUGACCGAAAUCGAAGGAGAAAUUCCGGAUAGGUUCAAUGAUUUUUGUAAUCAAAACAAAAGGUGAGGUGAAAUUAAAGAAAAUGGAAUAAUAUAGAAAUUUCUUAAGACACUUCCUUUCCUUUUAUCUCCUUCCAAGAUUCUACUCUUAUUAAUAUUUUCUCUCAAAGUUUUCUACAUAACAUCUCAUAAUUUAAGUUUUCUAGAUCUUUUUCCAACUGAAUACCUGCACCCAUAUAUAAACCCUAAAUCUGUAUCCCCAAAUCUUAAAAUUUAGCUCAUGAAGAACCCGACCUCUAGAUUCAUAUCCGUAUCGAAUAUCCGCAACUUAGAAUUGAGGAGCAAAGCUCUUGAAUGAUGAAAUUACAAGUUCCCAUUUGUAAUCAUGAAGGAUUACUAGGAAUACAUCAUCAUAGGCUUAGCUCAAGUGGCAACUGUUGAGGGACUUGUGAUUACGUCACAUGUUCAACCCUUACAUCAUGCAAAUUAAGCCUAAUAUUAAAGUGAAAAGGGUAGAAGAACAGACCCAUAUUUCCAAGUUUUAAAGGUUGUUGUUGGUCCUAAGGGUUGGCCCCAACGAAAUUCUUGAUCAAAAAUUUUUCAUCAAUGCCGAGACUAUUGAACUAACUACAAUCAACGAAAUAACAAAAACUAACAAACUAAUUAAACUAAUGAACUAACUACAACUAAGGAACUAACUAAAACUAACGAACAAUUACUCCUUCCUCUAAUGUUGAAUAGUUCAUUUGACCAUAAGAAACCAUCUAAUACUACUAAAUAUCAACCAUGCAUAUCAGCUACCUCCCACCAAAACAAAUAUCAGGUAUUCCAUCCAUCAAGACUCAAACGAAUAGAAAGAAGUGACAUACUAUUUUCAUCCUUUGCUUAGAUUUGAACGUGAGACUUCAUAAUUCUCAUCCCACCUCAUUAACCACUAUUCCACAAAAUUUUAAUUCUUCACAGCUAUUUAAAGAAUUUGAAAUCAAGAAUUUGAAAUAGCCAUCCACAGAAAGUAACAAACCAGAAACACAACACAAAGAAUCCCACAAACACAACACAAUUCCAACACCCCCAACCCCAAAAGACCAAAGCUUUCAUUUUUUUUCUGAUCAACACAAGCUAACUCUUAAAAUAGUAAACCUCACAUCAAAUUUCAGCAAAGUAACACCAACCCAUCAAUCGUUAUUACAAUAUAACCAUGCCCAAUUAUCAAUAAACUUCAAAACAAAACAUAACCUCAACAAAAAAAAUCAAAAAAGAAACUCAAGAAAGCAAAGUUAUUUUUAUACAAGUAUAUAAACUAGUAAGAGGUACUUAUAUUAUUGGCUUUCCAAGACUAGUACACACGCUUAGGUUGUUUAGCCAUGAAAGAUUGAUUCUUUGUCACUUUGCUAAAGCAACAAGAAGAAGAAACAAGUAAAAAUUAUUUACUGUCAUUAAAUUUUUUAAUCCUUUUUUGGCUUUUUUUUCAACUUUUAAAUGACGCUUAUGUGGUUCAAAUGCGGUGGAUUUAAUGAUGGUUUGUUAGCUUUUUCUUUUUUUAUUCUAUAGUUUUUUCCAUUGAUGUAAUAAUUUUUUUUUUCUCUUUUUCUUUUUACUUUCCGUUUUAAUCAAUUAGGACAUUUCUCUUUUUACCUUUGACCAGAGAAAUUCAUUUGUUGUAAAAAAAAUACUAAUUUAAAACAAAUAAAAGAUUAUGUCACUGUAAGAUCUCUAUAAAUUAAUACUUAAUAAAUUAAUAAUCUCACUAAAUUAUUCUUUUUCUCCGAUUCCGACUUCGGUCAAUGAAAAGAAUCACCAAUUUCGAUAAGAUAAUAUAUGAUCCCAUUAAUAUCAUAAAUUAAUAAUUCUUUUAAAAGUAUAAAUAUAUCUAAAAAAAAUUUAGUGAUAUAUGAUUCUUUGUGAAUUUUUUCUUAAAAUUUAAAUUUAAUUGAAGUUCAUCUCUAAUUUUUCUUAUUGCAUCCAAGAGCUCUAAUGUGUUGUUCUUUCAAACUGCACCAUAAAAUUAUAAAGAGUUCUAGAUGCGAUAAGUGUUUCCUUAUGCAUAACUAGUUCUAAAGAUAUUGUAUCAUCUUCAACUUCAUCGUCGACAUAUUUUUCUUGAUGGUAUCCACAAUUUCUUCUAAACUUUGGACCUCUGAACAUGUAUCACUUUCACCCAAAUAAUCCAACAGGUUACUGACAUCCAUUUUAUUAUGGUAAUCAAGAUCAUUAAUCAUGACCUCAAGUUCAUGAAUGACGUUUUUACAACUGAGUCCAUUCAAAUUCUCUGAGAUUGUAUCCCUGGAAUGAAUUUUUAUAGUGUUGAAAAUAAUUUGCUAUUGUUUCUUGUCUGAAAAUUUGUUGUCCAAGCAGAGUGUCACAUUCCGACACGGUAGCAUUAGGGGAUCGGAGUGUCACGUUCCGACACGGUAGCAUUGGGGGAUCAGAGUGUCACGUUCCGACACGAUAGUAUUAGGGGAUCGGGGUGUCACGUUCCGACACGUAGAAUUAGGGGAUCGGAGUGUCACGUUCCGACACGUAGAAUUAGGGGAUCGGAGUGUCACGUUCUGACACAUAGCAUUAAGGGAUCGGGUGUCACGUUCCGACACGUAGCAUUAAGGGAUCGGGUGUCACAUUCCGACACGUAGAAUUAGGGGAUUGGAGUGUCACGUUCCGACACGAUAAUAAUGAAGAGAAGUAAUUUUGAAUCAUGUUAAUAUACUCAAUUCGAAGAACCUUUUUCCCCAAAUGAGUAUGGUGUGGAGGUUUGAGUCCUCAAGGGUAUGCUUGGUGAUGUUUCCAAUGGUUAUUGUACUUGUUGAUUGUCACCUUUUAAGUAUUAUGGUUGAUUUCAUAUUAUUAUUCAAUAUAUAUUGCUUUCUAUUCUGAGUUGGCCGAUGAUACCUACUCAGUACUUGUUCCUUGUACUGACUCCUACUUGUAUUUUCUUCUUUGUUAUUUUGUGGAGUGCAGUAGGUGCGCCAUCGACUUCGACUCGCCCUCAACUUUAGCCAGUCUCCAGCAUAUCAGAAUUCAGGGUGAGCUAUGGUUCCUAGCUCGUGCUGGAUUCUCUCAUUCGCGUCUUGAUGUCUUGAAGUCGGACAUGGACCAUCCUUUUACUUAUUUUAUCUUCUUAAUACUCUUAGAUUUAGAAAUUUGAGGAUAGAUGUUCUUGAUGUGAUGACUUCCAGAUUUUGGGAAUAAUAAGUAUUGAGUUUUAGGAGUUAUUUAAUUGAUUUUCGUUAAUGAGUUUUGAGUCUUCCGCAUUAUAUUUUGUUCAUUAUGGUUGAAAUAUUGGUAAAUGUUGGGGUUCAGAUUUGUUGGUUCGCUCACAUAGGAGAAUAAGUGUGGGUGCCACUCGCGGCUCGUUUUGGGUCGUGACAUCACCAAUUGGAUGGCAUAGCACUUGCUAACAAAUGGGGCAUGUAACCACUGUUUGCGAGUGUUUGGAAAUUGUUGUAAUUAGAAGAACUUGACAUUUAACAUUCUCAAAAGUAAAAUUAGGUGAUUGGACAAAGCGCACAAUCUUGUGCUUUUGCUUCUCAAGCUCAGUAGAAGGGUGAAGCAAAUCAGUGUCAUUUGAAAUCUUUGGAAUAUCCAUAUUGUCUUGAAGUUUUUUUACGAUAACAGAUGUUGCAAGUUGCUCCAAGAAAAAAAAUCCUAAGCUCUUUUUCUUCUUUUUUAUGAUGCAAACUAUUUAUGUAUAAAUUAGUAACUAACAUUGUAUCAUGAAUAAUAUCACGACUUAUGUAUCAAGAAAUCAAAAAUACUAAUUCACAAUACAAAACAACUAAUUCAAUAUAUUUUUAUCAGAUCUUUGUAUCUUGAAAUUGAAGUUGUGCUUUACUUUAUAUUUUGCUAUUACAAAGAUAAGCUGCUUUACGAGUACCUUUUUACUCAACUUCAACACGUACAAAUUCUAUCGGAUGUAGCAUCAAAAUAAUGUAUCUCUCCACCCAUCAUUUCUAUUGUUACAAUGGCAGAUUUAAGAUUCAAUUCAGUUGUAAUGGUGGAUCUGAGACUUACAAAAGAAAUCGUUUGUCCAACAACUAUUCAAUCACUAUUAUAUCAUUCAUAAUUCAGAUCACACACCCAAAAUCUGAAAAAUCUAAAAAGAAAUCGAUAACCUGAUCAUGUAGAAGUAAUCAUGGAUCGUCUAUUUUUGAUAUGUUAUGAUUUUUGGAAUAGAUGGAGGAGAAGAAAAUUUGAAUUUUGAAUUCUCUAAAUCUGUUAGGGAUUGGAAUAGAUUGAUAUCAAUUUCUUUUCCGCGAUUUGUAUACUGAUAAUUAAUUUUACAUUUAGGUUACUUUUUAAGCGCAACAAGUUAUUUAAGGUAUCAGAUGCUAUGUAUUUGGUUGAGUAUAAUGUAUCCGGAUGCUACAAUUUCUAAGGGAGUUUUGUAAAAUAGAAAGAGUAGGGAUAGAUGUAAUUUAGAUUUUACACUAAAUUAUGUAAGUUAUACAUGAUAAAAUAACACAUAGUAAGUAUUUUUUUUUAAAAAAAAGAGAGAGGGUUGUUAGUUGCAAGGUUAUAAGUGAGCAAAAAGGAGUGUAAUUCUAGGCAAAAAAAAAGAGUAAAGGGGUAUUUUUAAAUCAAAAGAUAGACGAAGAGUGUUUUUAGACCUUUUCUUGUAGUUCAGUGAUAUUUUUGACCCUUUUUCGUGUCAUAUAUGUAAUUUUUUUUAUGUGAAAUGAAUAAAAUAUGAUACAUAAAUUAGUAUAAUAUAAUUAAAAUUAACCUUCAUUAAAUCUCAAAUUAUUCUUUAAGUUAAUAAAUAUUAAUUUAUUGAUUAAAUAAUAUUUUUAUAAAAUAAUAAAAUUUUAUGGUCCCUCCUAUAUAAAUUUAUAGAGGUUUUACUAUAAAAGGUUAAUGUCUAGUGUAAUGCUUUGUUAACUAUAACAUUAGUUAUUAAUAUGAUAUACUGAGUUACAUGACUAUUAUUUUAUAUUAAAUCAUAUAUAUUAAAAAAAAUUCCUUUAAAAUAACUUGUGCAUAAGGCCUUUGAUUAUUCAUUAUCAUUUAAAUCCAUUGUCAAUAAGAUAUCUACUAUUCAAUUCUUUAAUUUUUUUAUACCAAUAGCAAUAAAUUUAUUAAGUUUCUUUGAUUGUCUAAAUUCUUUGACAAUGAAUGAGAUUUUCCUUUAAAAUACUGCACAUAUAGUUCAUUUUUGUUUUAAAAGUAUUCCUCGUUUGAUUUUUACUUGUCCACUUUUAACUUUUAUUUGUUUCAUAAAAGUAAUAAUUCAUGAAAGUAUUUUACUACAUUAUAUCCAUAUUAAAAUAGUAUUUAGUCUUUGCUUACGUUGGAACAUACUAUAUGAAGUAAUAUUUUCAAUAAUCUUUAUACAAUUUAAUAUUAUACUAUAAAAUUACAAAUACUAUAAGUUUAAAACAUCAAAACUAAUUCAUACAUAUUUGGUAAAAAGAAUAUUUAUCCUUUUGAAUUUUGCAACCAAAACAAAUAAAAAAGAACGCAUACUCAUCUUGUAAAGAUUAUUGGUAGUUGUUGACUAAUAGCUUUUUAUAAAAUUAUAUGUAAGUUAUAAUCACAAAUACUUAUUUUCAAAAAAAUACACAAAUAUAUAAUAAUUAUUUUUUUAAUCAUAAAGGAUGGGCAGAGCCCAUUUGAAUUAAAAAGAAGGGAAAGAAACGAGGGAUUACAAACAUGAUACAACUAAAUUGGUACAUCGAGCUAUGGGUGUAUUUCAUAUCAGACGUUAACAAGUCUCACUAACAUCAUGAAUUCAUCCCAAUGAAGACUCCUUCAACUCAAUGAAACAAGGGAUUCCAAAUUCUAAAUUUUGUUGAAACUCAGUCUUUUCCUUCUACCUCUCACCAAAAUGUGAAAGAAUAUUGUAUUUUUUUCCCUUCUAGAAACCACAAAAUUUCAGCUUUUUGUCGCCAAUACUCUUCCUUAAAAUGCAUAUAUUUUUUCAAUUAUGCAUGAGCCUGAUGUAGAAUUCUUCUAUUAUCUUCAGUGGGGGUAGCUUCAAAUAAUUGCUCCUUCACCCUUACAAUUUCUUCCCUGAUAAAUAAUUGCUUGAAAAUAUAUCUAAAACAACUUUACUCCAGUUAGACAAGGUUGUUUUGGUAUUUUUCAACUUUUGUUUCAAAUUGAUAAACACAUCAAUCUCUUCUGAAACCCAACUGUUUUUCACUACCUGAUGGAAUUUGGAUCUUUCAGACCAAAAUUUAAGGAACCUGAAAGUUCUUGUAGGAGAAUUAGACUUUUGUCCACAAGAGAGUAACAUGGGAGCAUGAUCAGACACUGUUGUUGCCAAAUGUUCUAAUUCUACCAUCACGAAAUAUCCCAAACAAUCUUGAUUUAUCAAGUAUCUAUCAAGCCUUUUGAAGAUAGAUUGAUUAUGAAUCCUCCCAUUCCACCAUGUAAAAGGGCUCCCUCUAUAAUUGACAUCCACAAGAUCACAAGAAAUUAUACAAAAUGCAAAAUACUCAUACUCAUUAGGAUAUACAUGCGAACCACCAACUUUCUCCUCUUCACUCCGAAUGACAUUAAAAUCACCCUCAAUCAAACAAAGGACAUUCUAAUAAGUAUUACUAAUAUACAUGUCAUUCAAUAAUUGUGCCCUUUCCUCGGCAUCACAUUGACAUGAACUAUAGACACAAUCAAAGGAGAAUUAUUUUCUUGGAAAAGUAACCUAAGAGUCAACACAUUAUCAGAAUCAGACAUCACCUCCACUUGAAUACGAUCUUAAAUGAAUACCAAAAUUUUUCCAUUGCAGUUAUAAUUAGCAUGCUUCAUGCCCAAUCUCCUUUUGAACCUUUGUAUAUUAUUAACAUUUUGAAAAGGCUCCAUCAAACUAUGCUAGAAAAUUUGUGAAAUCUGUGUAAGAUUUGAAUUCUAUUGAAUGAAUUUUGAGAUCUAAUAGACCCAAUCCUGGUCCCCUUUUGAGGAUUAGAUCUUUUAGGAAGCACUUCCCCUUUAUUUUUGCCUUUAGGAGUUCGUGUUAAUGAUGGAGAAAUGCCUGCAUCUUUAUAACUUAGAUGCUCAAUUUGCAAAACUUCUUUAUGUUCUAUAUCUUCAUUUGCAUCUCUGUUAAAUAUUUCUUGAUCCUCCGCAGCCCCUAGGUGAGACACCAUCUCAUGUAAGGUUUGAACUGGUUGUGAUUUAACACAAGCCACUUUCAACUCCUAAUUUUUGUGUUCCUUCUCCCUAUGCACAGAUACAGACUCCUGCAUAUGAGGUGGAAACCCCCCUCUUUUGACUCCAAAUUUGUGAAGGAAUUUGAAAAGUAGCACUUUCGAGACUAUCUUCCAAAAGCUUAGUGAAGAUAUGCUGCUGAGCUAAACCAUCAAUAUUGUUAUACUAUUAAUUUUACAAUAUUAAUUAAUAGCAAUGAAAAUUAUAUAAAAUAUUACGUUACAAAAGGUAUAAAUUACCUAUCCGUUCCAAAUUACCUAUCUGAGAGGUCGCAUACAAGCCUACAUAUGUCAUACUUACUUUAUCUAGGUUAAUUUUAGCGGAAAAUUUAAACUUUUUGUUUUCUUAUUUCAUGCAAAACAUAUUAUACUUAACAUCAUAGGCAUUCACAAAUCAACCAUCUAAUAUAGAGAUAAUCAAAUGAAAGAAGCAAUUCAUAAUUGCGUUAAAUGUAUUCUUGCCAAAACGACACCAAUACAAAGUCCGAAAUGAAAUGGGAAUUGAAACACUAGUGAAAUAUGCUCCACUAGAUAAAGCCUACAUCUAAGCUAGAUAAUAAUGGUAGACAUCCUCGAAAGCAUGAGGGCCUACCAAGUCCGGAUGUAAGUUCCAUAUCCGGAUAGCUACAACAUCGUAUCGUAAGCUCUAACGUCCACUUGUGCCUACACCUAAAAGUAGAUAUUGUAUGGGAUUAGUACACACUUGUACUAAGUAUGGGUAUAUGCAAGCACACACCAAGGACAUGCAUGAGUAAGAAUUGCUUUUAUUAAACAACAUGAUUCAUGAAAAGUCAAGUCAGUAGAUUUUCCAAAUUUGGAUUAGGAAAGAUAGUGAACCUGGCAAAUUUGGAUUAGGAAAGUCAUGCCAUGAGAGUAACACGCAUCAUCAUACGUAUCGUAUUGCGCACAACACUUAACAUCUUACACAUAUCACAUAACAUAUUGCAUAUAACACAUAACAUCUUUCAUAUCAUUCGUUCAUAUGCCAUGAAACUUUGGAAUCAUGGACUAGAGAUCAAGACUUCCCAAAAAUGAGGGCUCAACAUAUGAGACCUCAACUACGGAACCUUCUUUAGCAAACACAGAGUCUGCUUCAUUCAUUCAUACGUACUUCACUUCAUAUAUUCAUAAGCUAGUGUAGACACCAGCUAUACCUAAGAUGUAGUUUAAGACUUUCAUCGGGUUUGAUGUGCAAUGAUCAAGAAUGACCUAGUGUCAUUACUUAAGUCUAUCUCACCUCUUGAUUAUUCUAUCCUAACACCUUUGGUAUCAUUCAUUUCUUUAUGUGCAUCAUUAGAGGCUGACCUCAUUCAUUCUUUGGGAACUUUAACUUUAAUCGAUAUAGAUCAUGUGAGCAUCAUGAAAUUCAGUGUCUGCCCCACACCAAAAAGAGGUGGAAUCACCGGCUAAAGUGACCCAGAACAUGCUAGCAUAUAUAGGGGAUUGAACCCUGCUAGAUUCCUAUAUUUUGGCAGUAUAGGUUCAAAGACUAGGAGAUAUAAGGAUACCCAUACCCAGCAUUUCGGACAGUCCCAUCUCAUGAGAGUUACGUGAACCUCCGCCCUUCCUGAAAAAGGCAUCACCGCUCAUAGCUAGCCUAUCGGUGCUCAGUAUAAAGUUCCAUUACAUUCAACUCAUACAUCAUGGAAGCUGACUUCUAGCAUGAGGACAUCAUAACUCAUUAGGUGAUUUCUCAUAUCAUCAUUAGUAUUUUGUAUGCAUUAACUUCAAUACUUUCAUUAGAGUGUUCAUAGAGAUUGGUCUCUUUAUUAACUUUACACUCUCAUAGGUGAGUACGUUUUGGUAACAUUUACUUAGGCUCAUUUGAGAUUGUUCUCAUAUUUUACAUUAGCCACAUAUCAUGUUGUCACCACAUUCAUUAACAUUUGCACAAUUGUUCUUCAUAAUUACUCACCCCAUUUUUACAUGAAUGUUCAUUUCCUCAUAUGCCAAUGCACUUGGCCAUUUGUGUGUUUCACACUCUUACUUUCCCCUUCUAGGGUUUCAUCAUUUCAUUACAUAAUAAUUAUUUCAUCAUAUGUCAAUGGACUUGUCUCGAUUCGAUCUAAGUAGGUGACAUUAUUCUUGAACAUUUAAUUCACGUAUGACUUAUGUAUCAACACAAAAAUUUGGUCAAGGAAACCCAAGUUCGAAUCUCUUGGAUAACACUUACAUUUUUCCUUGAUUUUAUUUUUAGUCCUCAUGACAUUGAGACCCUAGAUCGAGCCCCAACAUCAACAUUUCUUUUUAGUUCCUUUUCUUCAGAAACUCUCUCCCUUGGCCGAGGGGUUGUGGGUUCGAACCUCUACAACCCCCUUUUAUUUUUCUAUUUAUAUUCCUUGUCUAUAUCGCAUUAACUAGGAGGUUGUGAGAUCAAACCCCCACAACCUCUCUUUAUUUUUCUUUUAUUCAUUUAGGACUGAGAGGUUGUGGGUCGAACCCCCACAACCUCCUUAUUUUAAUUUCAUUUAAAUGUUGACUAUCUCUGCGUUGGCAGUGAGGUUGUGGGAUCGAGCCCCCACUGCCUCACUUUAUUUUCUUUCUUAUUUUCCCUUUCUCUUUUACUAUCCUUCAUAACCUUGAGGUUGUGGGUUCGAUUCCCACGCCUCACAUUACCUUUCUUUUAUUUUUUUCCUUUACUUCACUCGCUGCCUGGAGGUCGUGGGUUUGAUUCCCACGCCUCCCAUUUUAUUUUAUUACUAUUUGUACUCUUUUCAGCCAGCAUACCCCAUAUCGAUUUCACCUGACCCCAUUUCUUUUCUUGCGAUUUCAAGCCAUUACACGGGUGAGGUCACAGGUUCAAAUCCUGGUGGCCUCAUCCCUUUAUACUCAACUAAAUUUCAUAGUUAUUCCUCUACAUUUAGCCUAAACUAAACUUGUAAGUUUGCUGGAAAUUUAGUCAUUUUUUUAGCUUAUUUUCACCAACAUUUCACUUGAAAUCUUAGGGAAUUCAUAGAUCAUCUAACACUUUUUGGGGUGUAUUUUUAUAGAUUCGUUUAGCCAAAAUAUUUAUACUCAAAUCAGCCACACUUCCAUUUUAAUGAACAUCACGAUUUACAUAGGUUUAUGCACGUAAAAUGAUAACCAAAACAUUAUCAAAUUGAAGCCUUAAUCCGAGAACCUCAUUCAUUGUAACAUAUUUGCACACGCACACACUUGCACAUAAUUUCGAAUACGUGGUUGUCUUUCAUACGAUUUGAAGUACACAACAUAAUCAUAUCACGAAAACAUAACAUAUACCUAAAUCUACUAGCAAUCAUACUAAACUUACGAUUCAUUGGGAGCUAGUGACAGGGGCAUGCAAAAGGGGAAACAAUUCUAAUUUGCGGAUGAAUAAUAUGAACCUUAAGGGGUCUCUUGGGAAAGGGACCAAGAGAGAAGAAAACCCAUACCUUUUUGACGUUAAACUCGUGACUUGCUGCCCAAAAACUUCACCCAAGAACACGUCUAAGCCUCCUCAAUAUCAACUCCACUCGAAUGACAACCUCCCUUAGCCUAGUGUGUGAUUAACAUUUGCUUUCUUGUGAUUUCGUGAGUUCUUCAAGUGUGAAGAACUUGGUUUAUUUUUUUCUGCUUUUGUAUCUUAUUUUGGCAGGGAAAAUACGUGAGAAAGAAUAAGAGAGAUUGAGUGUGAGAGUGAGAGUGGAAAGAUAAACGUGAGAGAGUGGGAGUUGUAGGAGGCUUAGGGGUCUAGUUUUAGAACUUAGUCAAUUUUUAAUAAAAAUCUGAUUUCCAUUUUAUUUUAAAUCAGCUAAUGAAUAAGAAUUAUUAAUUAAUUACAUUAAUUCAAUAGCUUAAAUAAAAAUCAUUUAAACUCAUUGCUUCCACCUAGGUUCGAACCCGGGUGGAGCAAGACUUCACUUCAUGAGCCUAUUUUCGGGCCCCUCUCCCGAAAUUGCCCUUCCACCUUAUUAAUUAGAUAAUUAAUUACAUAUUUAGAGUAAUUACGAAACUACCCUUCAUCAGGAAAAAGACCAUUUUACCCCUAGACCCUUCAACCUAAGAUUUCCUCUUUUUAAGUCCCGUAAAGAUUCCUUCGAGUAAAUCUUCGUAUUCGAGAGCCCUAAAUGGUUGGACCUAACCUUUUCAAGUUCAACUAACUCCCUAAGUUAGUUGUCUUGGCUGUAGCAAGGGUUCCGAGGUCUGGUUCUACGCGCAUCAGUCCGUGUGAACUCUGGUCUAUUCAUAGGCAUUCUUGACACAUUAAACAUUUCUUAUCUUAUCCAUUUUUAGGGUUGUUACAAUAAGAAAUAGACAAGACCUCAUAUGCGUUGUGACAAGGAUUUACUCCUAACUUGAAAUUUCUGAAAGUGUGGGGUGUUUGGCUAAGGUUGGUCUACCUGAUUUUAAACGAGUAAAUGUUUGAUCUAAGACUUUUGAUAUAGUCUUUAUUGGUUAUGCUCAAAAUAGUGUUGCAUAUAGGUUUAUGUCUCUAAGUGACCAUUCUAUUUGUGAAUCUAGAGAUGUAGAAUUUUUUGAGCAUAUUUUUCCUUUAAAAAAUAAUGUGCCGAGUGAUGUGAAAAAUAAUGCUUCUACAUUUAUGUCUAUUAUUUCUCGUGUUGUACCUUAAUCUAGAGUUAAUUAUAAUGAAUGUGAAAAAGAACUUAGAAGGAGUAAGAGACAUAGAAUCGAGACAAGUUUUAAUCCUAAUUUUAUCACUACUUUCUUAACUGAAAAUUUUGAUAUUAAUGUUGUAAUGAUGAAUUAGUGUCUAUCUAUUUAAUAGAAGAAGAUCCUAAGACUUUUAAUGAAGCAAUGAGAUAAAUAGAUGUUAUAUUUUGGAAAGAGACUAUUAAAAGUGAAUUAGACUCUAUAGUUUGUAAUCACACUUGGGACUUGUAUGAUUUACCUAAAGGUUGUAAGACAAGAAGUAGCAAGUGGAUAUUUAAGAAGAAAUUGAGACCUGAUGGCACAAUUGAUAAAUAUGAGGCUAGACUUGUGAUUAGGGCUUUUAACCAAAAGAAAGGUGUUGAUUACUUUGAUACUUAUUCUCUUGUGACUAAAAUAGCAACCAUUAGAACUCUUAUUGCUUUGGACUCUAUUCGUGACUUAGUGGUACAUCAAACGGAUGUCAAAACAACAUUUCUAAAUGGUGAUUUAGAGGAUGAGAUCUAUAUGACUCAACCCGAGGAUUUUGUGGUUUCAGGACAAGAGAAUAAAGUAUGCAUACUGAGAAAGUCCUUGUAUGGACUAAAACAAGCACCUAAGCAAUGGUAUGAAAAAUUUAAUAACACAUUAGUGGAUAAUGACUUUGUUGUAAAUUCAUCUGAUACAUGUAUUUAUUCUAAGAUGAUAGGUUCAUAUUGUGUCAUUAUAUAUUUAUAUGUAGAUGACAUGUUAAUCUUUGAUCCUAAUGUGAAUGUUAUUAAUGAGAUCAAGAACUUUUUAUCAUCUACAUUUGAGAUGAAAGACCUUCGUGAAGCAGAGGUGAUUUUGAAAGUUAAAAUCAAAACAACUGUUAAUGGUUUCUCUUUGUGUCAGUCUCAUUACAUUAAAUUACAAUAAAAAGAUGUUGAAAAAGUUACAUUUUUUUGAUGUAGUUACGGUGAGAACUCCUUAUGAUCCUCUCAUACACUUCAAAAAGAAUAAAGAAUCUAGUAUUUCUCAAACUGAAUAUGCUAAAAUAAUUUGGAGUGUUAUGUUUCUCAAACUGAAUAUGCUAAAAUAAUUUGGAGUGUUAUGUUUCUCAAACUGAUAUAGUUUAUGUUGUUGGUAGAUUGAGUAGAUAUACGCAUAAUCCCAAUAGUGAGCAUUGAAAUACUCUUCAUCGAUUGCUAAGGUAUUUGAGAGGUACUAUGAAUUGGUGUUUGCAUUUUAAAAAAUUUCUUGUUGUUUUAGAAAGAUUUUGUGAUGCAAAUUGGGUAAUUGACAAUGAUGAAGUUAGCUCCACCAGUGGCUAUGUGUUUACUUUUGGUGCAGGUGUUAUUUCGUGAAAGUCUUCCAAAUAGACUUGUAUAGCACGUUCUACCAUAAAAUCUGAAUUCAUUGCUCUCGAGUUGGCAGGGUAAGAAACUGAGUGGUUGAGAAAUCUUUUGGCGGAUAUGUCAUUGUGGGAAAGACAAGCAUCACUAGUCUCUCUUCACUGUCACUCACAAGCAGCAAUUGGAAUUGUCAAAAAUAGUGUGUACAAUGAAAAAAAGAGACAUUCGCAUCAGACAUGGUGCAGUUAAACAGUUGUUAAAACUGGGUGUUAUUUUCUUGGAAUAUGUAAGGUUCGAAAGAAAUUUGGAGGAUCUUAUGACCAAGGGCUUGACAAGGAAAAUAAUCCUUGAAACGUCGAGGGGGGUGAGACUAAAGCCCAUUGAUUUAGGUAAUGUGGUGGACUUGUUAGGCCUCAAUAUACACCACAUUUUAUAUCUUUAUGACGUGAGACACUGUUUUAUAAAGUUGAACUUAUUUUGCUUUUAAUGAUUCUAUAGUCGUAAGUGGUCUAUUUGAGAUAGACUUGAUGGAGUCACCUGCGUGAGUGUAAAGGUGUGGUCGCCUGUUAUGAAAGAAUUAAUCGCCUUUUUAGAACACUCAUAAGACCUAAGGUAUGUGCAUGACCAUAAAAGCACUUUGUUCGUACACAGAGGUUGCUUAAAAUUUAAGGAUAUAGUAUUUGUUAUGGGGGUCUCAAUUAUAUACAUUCAGUUCAAGAGUACUCCACUUUGGAUAUUGAGUUGUUGCUCCAUUUCACUAUGUGUUAAUUCAAAUCUAAAGAUAUUGACACUUAAGUACAUGCUUCUUCUUCCUUUUGCCCAAAAUGUGUUCUUACUCUUUAUCUUUAUGUUAGUGGGGGAUUAUAAUAUCAAUUUUACAACAUUAAUUAAGAGUAAUGCAAAGUAUAUAGAAUAUUACAUUACAAAAGGAAUAAAUUAGUUAUCCAUUCCAAAUUAUAUUUUUAUUAAAGUGUGACGUAAUGACUUUUAAUGUCAUUAAGAUUUCACAUACGUUUCUUAAGAAUUUAUUUCUAUUUGCAGCUCCUAUAUAAAUAUGUAUUUUGAAUGAGCAUAAAACACCACUACCAACAAAAAAAAAGUAACAUUUUCUUCUUAUCUUAUUCUUAAAAUAAAUAUUGGGUAAUUGAUUGUGGGCUACCUCCAAACUUUCAACCACGAGUGCACAUGUUUGAGAACACUUGUGGCAGUGACUUACACGACACAAUAUUUGUGCUAAAUUAUUUACUAAUUUUAUAAUUUCAUUCUAAUAUCAAUAUUAUAAUAUUUUUCUCCUUCUACCUUUACCAUCUCCAGAUUCACCUCUUUGUUGACCCCUUUAUCCAUCAUCAUAUUAUCUACCAUUUGAAUUGAAAUUCCCUUGUCAAUAUGAUUUGUACUCACACUUUGUCACCACCUUCAAUGGCUUCCACUUCACUUGAUCAAAUGAAUUAUAGUUUUGGAGAGUCCCCUCACUGUCCUUAUCACUCAUUAGAUUUCCAGCUUUCUUUAUAAAAUUUCUAUCAGUGGGCAUCUAUUUGCUCCUUUAUAAAAAGUUGUAUAUAUGUUGGGAUAAAGUCUUGGUAGUUAAUGGUGGAAAAUUAAUGGAUGAACAAGGAUCCAGUCCAGCCAUCGCCGCAAGGUUAUAUAAUUAUGAACUCUUUUUUUUUUUAUGUUAAAUGAGUUUUGCGUGUAAUUAAUAUAAUGUAUACUAAAUUAUAAUUUAAAUUUUAGUGUUACCAUAUAAAUAGACAUUUUGUAAAGAACUUGUUAUAAACUAUACCACUAUUUAUUUGCAUUAGUGGUAUUGAAACUCGUACAUGAAGAGAUCUAUCAUUCUUGUUUGUGCUAUUUAAGCUACAAUUUUAAUAAUUUUAUAUUUAUAUUUACUUAUUUUACCCAAUUAUUUCAAUAAAGAACAUCAGUACCUCAAAUAUUCUACUCUACUCGUUCACUAUCAAUUGUUGACAAACAUUUUACAAACAACUUUUUUUUAUCGUUUUGAUAUGCAAAAGAAAUCACAAUUCAAAUAAUUUUUAUGUAUCUAUAUUUUUUUAAAAAAAAAUCAAAUUAAUCUAAUUGAACUUUGAAAACUAUUCAAAUUAACUUAAAAUUUUUUUGUAAUACGACAAGUAAAAAUAGACACACAAGGAGAACAUUAAAACUAAAAGCUAGAAUUUUAUUACUUGUAAAAUAAAAUUUACUUAUUUUGCUAAAAUAUUCUACAUGCAGCUCCCUUACUAUUCCAAGUCUCCGAAAACAUAUUUAUUUUUUAUAUAUAAUAUAUAUCAUGCUUCAUGAGUAUUAAAAUAUACAGACUUCAAUUAGUUAAAUGCAAACACAAAUUUUUAUUUUUUUUGAAAAAAAUAUUUAUGAGCUAUAUAACAGUCGCAUGUAAACAGCAAAAUAAAUUGACUUAAAUUUUUGUUUUGUCUAAGAAUACGUUCAAGUUUGGUCUAGAAAAAUACAAAUUUCAAUUGAUAUAUGAAGAAAAAAGAAGUACCUAUCAUCACAGAAUACAAACACAAAUUCUGAAGUCAAAAAUAUUGUAUUAUGUUAGAUUAAGGUUAUUAUAAUAAUAUGUAAACAACAAAACAAAUUUACUUUAUAUUUUUGGUCUAGAAAAACUAUAAAAUACAGUUUGGUUAUAUUUGUGAGUGCAAAGGGCUCAUAUCAAGUGUACUUUAUAGAAGGUUCAUUGUGAAGAAAACUCAUGUUCAAAAGAAUAGAACAAAGAUGCACAAUAUAGAGUUAAUAAUAAAGCCACCAACAGCUAUUUAGGGGGCAACUAUAUCACAAACCCUAUGUUAUGCAAAUUUAUCUACCAAAUCUCAUUCAAAAAUGAGAAAUUCUUCACUCUAUCCUCUCUCUUUAUAAUCAUAGCCCAA
rnacentral:lncRNA from 1 species